CUGGAGAGCCGGGGGGAGGUGGGGUCGCUCGGACAGGGGAGGGGGGAGAUGGCGGUGAGAGCACCAAAAGGACGUAGGUCUGGUGUUUGGGAGGUUGAGGUCUGGUGGUGGUAGCGGGGCUCGGAUGAGGGGGAGGUGUGGCCCGAGGAGGACCAUUCUAUUUAGACACGUCUUCUCUGUGGGACUGGGUUGCUUGGUGAGGGACGAGGGUGAGAGCGGUGCAGUACGAGACAGGGUGAAUAGGUUUCUGGAAGACCAGCCGUUCAGGUUAGUGGCGGUAAGGGGGAGGCGCCGCGCGGGCUACAAUCCCCCCCCUGCAGUUUUCUGGAGGGUCUAGGAGCUGUGUGUCGUGGCAACGCUAACGCUUUUGUGGUUUCGCCGGACUAUCCCGGGCCCCUGCAGUGGUGAUCAGGCUUGUGCGGGAUCCCUUUUCUUUAUAAGGCUACUUUCUCCCCUGGACCAGCCCAGGAAGGGACAGGUGGUGGAGGUCAGUUGUUUUAAGGUGGUUGCAAGACGUCUUGUGGUGUUGAGCUCUCUUAGCCUUUCUCUCUUGGAGGUUUUUUGUUGGCCUGUUAGGUAUAUCAGGAGCCCUCCCCUGCCGGGACUGCCCUAACCGAAUUAUUGUUUGUUUGUUUGUUUUCCCUUCGAAUCCCGUUUUCGUUGGUGGUGUUUUGGGAGGUUGUUUCAGAGAGCCUUUGACUUUGCCCUAGCUGAGACUUGUGGACUCGCUCUAGCGGGACCUGAGAGCCCAUCGUGGUGUAUUCACUGCAGCGCCAUCCCCGGAUGGAGUGGCUGCGGAGUGGCUGCGUAGAGUGUUGGCAGUCUGAGUCGGGGUCGGGAGCACACAAGACUAACCGACUUGUGGUGUGUGCUCCCGACCCUUGCGCUGUGUUUCGGCUUCGGCCCCCGGCUCUCGCAGCCCACAGUGUAAUCUAAGUCAUACAUACAUACAUGCAUACAUGCAUACAUGCAUACAUGCAUACAUGCAUACAUGCAUACAUGCAUACAUGCAUACAUGCAUACAUGCAUACAUGCAUACAUGCAUACAUGCAUACAUGCAUACAUACAUACAUAUGUAUGGAUGAGACCAAGCUUGACUAAGCUGCUACUAUGACCGUCGGCCAACCGCGGCCGUGGCCACCGACAGCGACCUCAAUUGUUUGNNNNNNNNNNNNNNNNNNNNNNNNNNNNNNNNNNNNNNNNNNNNNNNNNNNNNNNNNNNNNNNNNNNNNNNNNNNNNNNNNNNNNNNNNNNNNNNNNNNNNNNNNNNNNNNNNNNNNNNNNNNNNNNNNNNNNNNNNNNNNNNNNNNNNNNNNNNNNNNNNNNNNNNNNNNNNNNNNNNNNNNNNNNNNNNNNNNNNNNNNNNNNNNNNNNNNNNNNNNNNNNNNNNNNNNNNNNNNNNNNNNNNNNNNNNNNNNNNNNNNNNNNNNNNNNNNNNNNNNNNNNNNNNNNNNNNNNNNNNNNNNNNNNNNNNNNNNNNNNNNNNNNNCACGGUUGCUUUAUCCGAUGGGAAGGGAACGGCACAUUGUGAUGGAACUCUCCAUCCUUGAGCCAAAAGGAGGUUUAGCAGUGUUGACAGCGGCCAGGCGCAUCGUUAACGGGCGAUUGCGCGUGCCUGGGGUGCAAUUGACCCCGAACAUGGAGCCGAUGGAAGUGGAGCUGCUGGUGAAGAACCAGCAACAGGCUAAGCCCAUUGUGUGGGAGGUGAGAGGCGUCCCGGUCGGCCUCAGCUGUCAGGGCACGGCCGACUUCCUCCCCGGGCAUACCGGGCAAACCCCAGUCCCCAGGACGUGACGGAAUUCUCGCUCCUGGCCCCCACGACGAUGGCCGACACGUGGAGUGCUGGAGCUUACCAGCAAUCGCGGCCUUCCACGAGAACUCCCGUUUGAAUACGGGGAGCCAUCGGAGGCGUGCCACCAGAAGUGGCACCCUUCAAGCGAUCAGGAAGACCCCCCUGGAAGGGGAACCUUUCCUGAUGCCCCAGCCACCCCCGCGAGCAGCACUCGCCCAGCAGCAAAGGGGAGACGGGGCGGCAACAAGCACCCGCCCAGGCCACAGUGGGCAGGGGAUGGGAGUUGUUGUGGCACACUUGCAUAUUAACCCUCGGAUCUUUCCCCAAUUCUCUGGCACUUUGCCGCUGGGCAAUAUCUUCGCUCUUAUUUGGUUAACCAUUGGGCACUUGCCUAUCUCUUGGGCGCUGGCCCACCUUUAAGCGGGCAAUUGCCUGUCUUUAUCACGCGUGAAACUGGAUUAUAGCGCUCUUGCUAUAAUCGUGACACUUGUCACUGGUAGACCCACUUGGGUUACGAUUGCACCGAUUGGUGAUAAUUCGCGUUGACGACUAUAUCUUCGGACCGUACAGACUUCUGUACGGGUCGUCCUAACGCAGAGGCAUUUAGCCUCUUCUCAUUCACUAAUCGGUAGUUUUCACUACCACCUAAACAGUGGAGGUGGAUACAACAAGUGGUAUCGAGAUGUUCGGUCUCGACCAGCUCUUCCGCACCCAUCUCGAUUGUUAGUAAAGGUCAUAGGCUUACAGUGUUGGAGUGCUCGCGGCGGCUCUUCUGGGUAAGUGAAAGAUCGUAAUCAUCUGUAUUGUUUUGUCCUUGGUUGCCUCGCUCAUUGUUGUUGCAGAGGUUAGAAUGGGUGUGCUGGACCCGACUGAGGUAGAGCCGCUACUUCAAGCUCUCCCCCUAUCCGCGGCAGUGACUGCGUCAUUGCUGUAUUAGGGUAGGCCCUUCUCAGUUAGCUAAAAUGUUUAGCCCCGCCCCGUUUAAUUUGGGCGGCGACCGUAAUGGCGUAGACAUGGCGUCGGGCGCACCUGAUGCUCGUUCCACUUUGCCUGCCUACGCUGUUGCGGGACUUGUUUCCGACCCCGGUGCACCUAGUACUUCUAGAGGUCCGGGCGGCCCUAUUGAGGUCCCUGUUGCUGUUCGCGAACCUGAUGCGCGAACGCCAUUCUCAACUUUUGCCGCAGCACCUUUGUUGCAUAUGCCCACUGGGGCUGCCGAGAAUGUUCGUUUAAGGCCACUUGGCCCUACUGGUGAUGAACGUCUCCACUCCUUGCCUUCUUUGGCCCCUUUUGCUCUGCGCAACCCGCCUAAUACUCACAUGAAUCGUCCGGAUGUUCCAACGGUGAUACCAGAAACCCCGACGACAGAUGCGGACCACCGUGCUGCGGCUGCGCGUGCGUUAGCGGUGGAAGCGGCUGCUGCUGCUGGGGCUGCGGUUGCGGCGGCAGCCGCAGCCGAGCCAGAGCCUUUGCCUUCGGUUCGGCCGAUUUCUUCUGCCUACCUUCCUCGGGUUAGUUUACCGACUCCUGUUUUGCAGCUAGAUGCCAAGCUUGAUGCGAAGCAGACUGCUGCCCGCGUCAAGGCGUUUAUUCGUGACGCGUCUUUGUUUUUCGAAAUCGUGCCCUGGGGUAGGGACCAUCGUUCUUGCUGCCUGUUUUUGUCGCAAGCGCUCCUUGGCGCUGCAAAAACGUGGUAUGAUGAGUGGUCCCUAUCGCAGCGCGAACUCACUGCUCAGCUUGUUCUGGAUAACCUGCGUACGCGUUUCGCUCCUCAAGUUAUCUCUGUAGAACAAGAAGCACGACGUAGGCUCUCUGAAAAAUCUUUUGCGAUGCGUGCUAGUGAAAGUGUACCAGCUUACCUUUCGCGUCUUGAGGCCGUCUUCCAAGACAUACCCACGAUCACUCCUAGUGAGCGUAUGUUUUGGUUUUUCGAAGGCCUUUCUUCUUCCCUGCAGCCCCAUUGCGCCACAGACGUCUAUGGAAAGCCGUUUCCCUCUUACGACGCCCUGGUACAGCAUGCCUUGGGCCAGGAAGUGCGCGCCCUGUCUGAACGAAAAGUCCGUUCUGCUCUUCGUUCGAAUUCUGUUGUUUUGCAGGAUUAUGACGAAGAUGGGCCUCCAGUCAAGCGGGCGCGCGUGGACCCCGGUCCUCGUCUCGCUGCAGCUGUUGCUGGGGCCCCUAGGCAGACGGGAUGCGGAAGCGGUCCUGGGCGUAAUAGUCAUGGGGGUAGAACAGGUUCACGUGGCGGGCGCGGGGAUAGGGGUCGCGGCACUGGCCGUCCCAGUGCACCCGCUGGCGGAGAAUCCGCCACUCCGUUGGCGAAAGCUUGCGAGUUGACCAAGUGGGUCAACCAGUUCGGCCGUAGGUUGACGCACGGGGAGGUGGGAAUUCUCCGACAGCGUGCGGGCGGUAAGGCCGUCUGUUUUUGUUGUGAGGUGGUUAGUCCCGACCACCUCUACGACAACUGUCCCGCUCUCAAAAGGUUGUGUGAAGCGGGGCUGUGCUAGGAAUUUGCUCAGGGCGGUAUUGAGGGAUAUUACCCUGAGCUUCCUUUUGCGGGGAUUCGUUCUUUGGUCCGCGCGGUUAGACCCGCUGCGUUGGCAGAGUUUGAGAGUGCCGUUGGACGCCGUUUUUCUUUUGACGCCGUUGCUGUCAAACCGGGCUUUGACUCGGAAUGUAACAUAACGGUUCCUCGUGGUCGCACUCUCUGCUCGGUCGAUGUUGGUGGUCAUACUGUGCUUUUUGUCCCUGCAUCCCUCACUCAAUUGCGCGUUUCACUUCGGCACUACCUUGCAUGCAAGCACCGCCGUCCUGACACCGCGGCCGGCAUUUUGCUACCUUCGCAUAUCGCUCGGCGGGCUUCGAUGUUGCUAGCAGGUAUGUGCCGAGUGCUUACGUUUCCUGCGAAGUCCGUCCUUUUCAAUGGCCUUUCGCUUGAGGGUAAAACAGUAGAGCUUCCUGGUAUUCCGUACCCUGCUGAGUUGUGGUACGAUGCACCUUCACCUUGCCUCUCUGUUGCCCGGGAGCCCUUUGCUUCCUCUCUUUGCGCAGUUGCCUCCGGUUCUGUGGACACACGAGUUGCUUUGCCUCUGGUGUCUCUGCGGACUGGUGGCCAAACGUUUUCGGCAUUGGUGGACACAGGUGCUACUCACGACUUUAUUAGUGAGUCCCUUGUCCAACGGCUACACCUCCCGGUCCGCUCUUCGGACUGGUCCCAUGUUUCGCUCGCUGACGGAGGUAGGCAAGCAAUCGUGGGUCAGGUGUUGUUUCGCGUGGCAGUCGGGUCUUUGUACCUAACCGUCUCACCAUACGUUUUGCCGUCCUUGACUGAUGCUGCUCCUUUUAUUCUGGGGUCUGAUACUUUGCGUAAGCACUCUGCAUCCCUGGAUUUUCAGAACAAUAUUUUGCGUUUGUCAAAGGGUACUGUUCGGUACUCGAUUCCUUGGCGCGUGUCUUCUAAGGAUUCAGGUGACAGUGGUGCUGCCUCGUCGGCGCCCCUUGUUAAUUUUGCGGCUGCGGCCAUGUGUGCGCACGCCACCCCUGAGUCUAUUGGUCGUAAGGCUGCUAUGCGUCUUAUUCGCAAAGGGGCACAUGCUUUACUGGUUCGUCCUUCGGUUAGCCUUAACGCCACUUCUGUGAUUCCUCCCACUCAGGACCCUGAAGUUUCCGCACUGCUUGAGGAAUACGCUGAUGUCUUCCGGGAAAUUCCGGGUAUUCCUCCAGUCCGUCCGGUGGAUCACACAAUUCCGUUGGUGCCUGACGCCCAACCCGUCGCACGCCCUAUGUACCGACUUAGCCCUCUUGAGCUUGAUGAGGUCAAACGGCAGGUUACUGAGCUGCUUGCUAAAGGCAUGAUUCGCCCGAGUACGUCUCCCUUCUCUGCCCCGAUCUUGUUUGUGGGUAAGAAGGACGGUUCCCUACACAUGUGCAUAGACUACCGUGGGUUGAAUUCCAUGACCACUAAGAAUCGGUACCCUCUUCCGCGUGUAGACGAUUUGCUCGAUAAGCUUCGCGGGUCUGCUUACUUUAGCUCUAUAGAUCUGCAGCAGGGAUAUAAUGGACCCUAAGAAGACUGCUGCGGUGCGUGACUGGCCUGUCCCGACGUCCUUGCUUGAGCUGCGAAAGUUCCUAGGACUUACCAAUUACUUCCGCAAGUUUAUAGCCAAUUACUCGUCUCUCACCGCGCCGUUGACGAGUCUUACGCGCAAGGGAGCGUUUUCUUCCGCUGACGUUUGGACUGCUGAAUGUCAGGCGUCUUUUGAGGCUAUAAAACGUGCUGUUGCGGACGAUAUAGUGCUGCGUUUUCCCGAUUACUCUCAGCCUUUCCGUGUUGAGCUUAUUUCCGACGCCUCGCUGCACGGUACGGGGGCAGUUUUGCUUCAGAACGGUCGUCCUGUCGCGUUUUCCAGCAAGAAAUUUUCUGCUGCCGAACGCGGCUACACCACGGGUGAACAAGAGCUACUAGCCGUUGUUCACGCCCUGCGCGAAUGGCGCUGCUAUCUUGAGGGACGCCCGUUCGUUGUCAAAACCGACCACAAGCCUCUAACCUUCCUGCAGGGUGUUCCGACUCUUAACUGCCGCCAGGCGCGGUGGUUAGAAUAUAUGCAGCGUUUUAACUUCACUUGGGAACAUGUGUCUGGUUCUGUUAACGUUGCUGAUGCUUUGAGUCGCCAUCCUUCCUUGCACUCUGUCGUCCUGUCGGUUGUGACUUGACGUCAGUCUGUGGCUGCCGAUUUGACGAUUUCUGCUUUUGCUAAACGAAUCGUGGACGGAUACAAAACCGACCCUUGGUUCAACGAUCCCAAUAACGUCGACCAGUUGACCCGUGUCCAGGGUCUCUGGGUUCGCACUGAUGGUGAUCGACGUCAAACGGUUGUCCCUAAUGAUGAUUUGCUUCGCCGUGAUAUCCUUUCCCGUGUGCAUCAGGAUCCACUUUCCGGUCAUGUGGGUUCUACUCGCCUUAUUGAGUUGCUACGUCGCAACUUCUGGUGGCCACGGAUGGCUCGUGAUGCUGCUUCCUUUGUUGAGCAGUGUGACGUUUGCCAACGGCAGAAGCCAAUGUCUGGUAAGCAAUCGGGCCUGCUUCAGCCCUUGCCGAUCCCAGACUCGCCUUGGGAGAGUGUGUCGCUUGACUAUGUCGUCGCACUUCCUCUUUCCGAGGGGGGAUACGACGCUGUCCUCGUCAUUGUUGACCGCUUGACCAAGAUGGUACAUUUGGUACCGACCACCACGACAGUUACUGCGGAGCAAACCGCUCGACUGUUCUUUGAUAACGUGGUGCGUCUGCAUGGUGUUCCCAAACAAAUUAUUUCUGAUAGAGGACCUCAGUUUGGUGCCAAGUUUUGGGGAGCCCUUGGCACUUUGGCUAAUUUCCGAGUAAGCCUUUCUACUGCCUACCAUCCACAAACUGACGGUCAGACUGAGCGAAUGAAUCGCACUUUGGGUGAUAUGCUGCGUACUUACGCUGGCCACAACCCUCGUGUUUGGGACACCUAUCUUUCGGCUGCAGAAUUCGCGAUGAACAACGCUGUCAAUCGCUCUACGGGACAAUCUCCUUUCUUCUUAAAUUACGGGUUCCACCCAGCUACUCCCGUCUCACGUGAACUUGAUGUUCCGGUCCCGGCAGCCAAAUCCUUUAUUAAGUCGUACGUUGCUCGUAUUGCAGAAGCGAAGCAGUGUCUGGAAAAAGCCAUAGANNNNNNNNNNNNNNNNNNNNNNNNNNNNNNNNNNNNNNNNNNNNNNNNNNUUUUAUUCUGGGGUCUGAUACUUUGCGUAAGCACUCUGCAUCCCUGGAUUUUCAGAACAAUAUUUUGCGUUUGUCAAAGGGUACUGUUCGGUACUCGAUUCCUUGGCGCGUGUCUUCUAAGGAUUCAGGUGACAGUGGUGCUGCCUCGUCGGCGCCCCUUGUUAAUUUUGCGGCUGCGGCCAUGUGUGCGCACGCCACCCCUGAGUCUAUUGGUCGUAAGGCUGCUAUGCGUCUUAUUCGCAAAGGGGCACAUGCUUUACUGGUUCGUCCUUCGGUUAGCCUUAACGCCACUUCUGUGAUUCCUCCCACUCAGGACCCUGAAGUUUCCGCACUGCUUGAGGAAUACGCUGAUGUCUUCCGGGAAAUUCCGGGUAUUCCUCCAGUCCGUCCGGUGGAUCACACAAUUCCGUUGGUGCCUGACGCCCAACCCGUCGCACGCCCUAUGUACCGACUUAGCCCUCUUGAGCUUGAUGAGGUCAAACGGCAGGUUACUGAGCUGCUUGCUAAAGGCAUGAUUCGCCCGAGUACGUCUCCCUUCUCUGCCCCGAUCUUGUUUGUGGGUAAGAAGGACGGUUCCCUACACAUGUGCAUAGACUACCGUGGGUUGAAUUCCAUGACCACUAAGAAUCGGUACCCUCUUCCGCGUGUAGACGAUUUGCUCGAUAAGCUUCGCGGGUCUGCUUACUUUAGCUCUAUAGAUCUGCAGCAGGGAUAUAAUGGACCCUAAGAAGACUGCUGCGGUGCGUGACUGGCCUGUCCCGACGUCCUUGCUUGAGCUGCGAAAGUUCCUAGGACUUACCAAUUACUUCCGCAAGUUUAUAGCCAAUUACUCGUCUCUCACCGCGCCGUUGACGAGUCUUACGCGCAAGGGAGCGUUUUCUUCCGCUGACGUUUGGACUGCUGAAUGUCAGGCGUCUUUUGAGGCUAUAAAACGUGCUGUUGCGGACGAUAUAGUGCUGCGUUUUCCCGAUUACUCUCAGCCUUUCCGUGUUGAGCUUAUUUCCGACGCCUCGCUGCACGGUACGGGGGCAGUUUUGCUUCAGAACGGUCGUCCUGUCGCGUUUUCCAGCAAGAAAUUUUCUGCUGCCGAACGCGGCUACACCACGGGUGAACAAGAGCUACUAGCCGUUGUUCACGCCCUGCGCGAAUGGCGCUGCUAUCUUGAGGGACGCCCGUUCGUUGUCAAAACCGACCACAAGCCUCUAACCUUCCUGCAGGGUGUUCCGACUCUUAACUGCCGCCAGGCGCGGUGGUUAGAAUAUAUGCAGCGUUUUAACUUCACUUGGGAACAUGUGUCUGGUUCUGUUAACGUUGCUGAUGCUUUGAGUCGCCAUCCUUCCUUGCACUCUGUCGUCCUGUCGGUUGUGACUUGACGUCAGUCUGUGGCUGCCGAUUUGACGAUUUCUGCUUUUGCUAAACGAAUCGUGGACGGAUACAAAACCGACCCUUGGUUCAACGAUCCCAAUAACGUCGACCAGUUGACCCGUGUCCAGGGUCUCUGGGUUCGCACUGAUGGUGAUCGACGUCAAACGGUUGUCCCUAAUGAUGAUUUGCUUCGCCGUGAUAUCCUUUCCCGUGUGCAUCAGGAUCCACUUUCCGGUCAUGUGGGUUCUACUCGCCUUAUUGAGUUGCUACGUCGCAACUUCUGGUGGCCACGGAUGGCUCGUGAUGCUGCUUCCUUUGUUGAGCAGUGUGACGUUUGCCAACGGCAGAAGCCAAUGUCUGGUAAGCAAUCGGGCCUGCUUCAGCCCUUGCCGAUCCCAGACUCGCCUUGGGAGAGUGUGUCGCUUGACUAUGUCGUCGCACUUCCUCUUUCCGAGGGGGGAUACGACGCUGUCCUCGUCAUUGUUGACCGCUUGACCAAGAUGGUACAUUUGGUACCGACCACCACGACAGUUACUGCGGAGCAAACCGCUCGACUGUUCUUUGAUAACGUGGUGCGUCUGCAUGGUGUUCCCAAACAAAUUAUUUCUGAUAGAGGACCUCAGUUUGGUGCCAAGUUUUGGGGAGCCCUUGGCACUUUGGCUAAUUUCCGAGUAAGCCUUUCUACUGCCUACCAUCCACAAACUGACGGUCAGACUGAGCGAAUGAAUCGCACUUUGGGUGAUAUGCUGCGUACUUACGCUGGCCACAACCCUCGUGUUUGGGACACCUAUCUUUCGGCUGCAGAAUUCGCGAUGAACAACGCUGUCAAUCGCUCUACGGGACAAUCUCCUUUCUUCUUAAAUUACGGGUUCCACCCAGCUACUCCCGUCUCACGUGAACUUGAUGUUCCGGUCCCGGCAGCCAAAUCCUUUAUUAAGUCGUACGUUGCUCGUAUUGCAGAAGCGAAGCAGUGUCUGGAAAAAGCCAUAGACCGUACGACUAACUAUUACAACCGCGGCAGAGCCGAAGUUACCUUCAAAGAAGGCGACUUAGUGCUUUUAAGUACGAAAAAUCUGCGGCAGUUAGCCGUCGGACCUCGUAAACUAUUGCCGCGGUGGGUGGGUCCUUACCCUGUGAAGCGCAUGGUUGGCAAAGCAGCGGCCGAGCUUGUCCUACCGUCUGAUAUGCGCAUCCACCCCACCUUCCACGUAACGUUGUUGCGGCCUUACAAGGCGCCGGCGGAUGCGUUGGAUUCUUCAACUGUUCGCGACAGUUCUUCUGCACUUUCUAGUCCUGCAGGACCGCCGCCGGUUCAGUGGCUGAAGAGCGAUCCACUUUACUCGGUCGAGUGCAUACUGGAUUAUCGUGCCCGCCGCCUAGGAAGACGCCGUAAGGGGCUGGUGCACGAGUACCUCGUCAAAUGGACCGGGUAUUCCAAUGAACAUAAUAGCUGGGAGCCAGAGAAACACUUUACGCCCGACCUUCGCCCCGAACUUCAAGCAGUUAAGGCUCGUGCCACUAACACUGCGAGGACGCUGCGUCCUGAGGGGGGAUAGUUGUUGUGGCACACUUGCAUAUUAACCCUCGGAUCUUUCCCCAAUUCUCUGGCACUUUGCCGCUGGGCAAUAUCUUCACUCUUAUUUGGUUAACCAUUGGGCACUUGCCUAUCUCUUGGGCGCUGGCCCACCUUUAAGCGGGCACUUGCCUGUCUUUAUCACGCGUGAAACUGGAUUAUAGCGCUCUUGCUAUAAUCGUGACACUUGUCACUGGUAGACCCACUUGGGUUACGAUUGCACCGAUUGGUGAUAAUUCGCGUUGACGACUAUAUCUUCGGACCGUACAGACUUCUGUACGGGUCGUCCUAACGCAGAGGCAUUUAGCCUCUUCUCAUUCACUAAUCGGUAGUUUUCACUACCACCUAAACAGUGGAGGUGGAUACAACAGGAGUACAGGGGCAACUGACCAGAUUCUUGAGCCCGAUGGAUUUCGAUGCCAUCCAGAGAGACAGGGGUCACUGCUCUGGCGCAGCAGAGGGGGGGCCUGCAGGAGUUAACCCUCUGGGACCCCCCAGCGGCCCCAAGCCCAGAAGGGCGGUGGAUGAUGGCAGCGGGCUGAAUGGAGUGAGGGGGGGCAAGGGGGACAACAGCGGCAGUGGCCCCUCUAUCCCACCCCAGGGCAGUAGUGAAGGUGAUGCUGAGACGAGCUGGACAGUGAUGGGCAGGAAGGGGAGGAAGACCCCGGCGACGGCUGCAAAGGCUGCACCAGCAGAGACCAACCCCUUUUUGGUGCUGGCGGAGCUGAGGGGAGAGGAGGACGCCCCCACAGAUUUUCCUGCUCCAAUGGGGGGGAAUGACACCUAUGGCCACACAACAACCGGGGGACCAGCAGCAGCAACAACAUCCCCCGCAGCGAACCCCAAUGGGAUUUCUUCCACACCCACGGCCACGGCCGUGAAAGGAGCGCCGGCGGCAGCAGCACUGCCGGGGGCACCAGAAGCAGCAGCACUAGACCCAACCCCACCCCCCGCAGCGAACCCCAAUGGGAUUUCUUCCACACCCACGGCCACGGCCGUGAAAGGAGCGCCGGCGGCAGCAGCACUGCCGGGGGCACCAGAAGCAGCAGCACUGGACCCAACCCCACCCCCCGCAGCGAACCCCAAUGGGAUUUCAUCCGCACCCACGGCCACGGCCGUGGAAGGAGCACCGGCGACAGCAGCACUGCCGGGGGCACCAGAAGCAGUAGUACUGGACCUAACCCCACCCUCAGCGGCACCGGACCUCCAUAAGGGGAAAGCAUGCAAGCCCCGCAAGACCCAAGGAAUAAAGAAAAUCCGCAGGCCAGACCUGACGGGGGAAGCCAGGCGCACGUUCUUUCUGGCGCAAACAGCUGCAGCCCGAGCAGCCCGCAAACAAUCCGCAGAACUGGACCAGCGAACUAAGGACCAGAAGCGGCUGAUCCAUAAAACGUCGGCAGCGGAGAGACGCAGCGAGCUUAUCCAGUCUGCCCGUAAGCAGAAGGCGAAAGAUGCCGAAGCCACCCAGGGGACCCAGGCCUCGGGGAGGGAGCUGGGGACUGCUGCAGCGGAGGGGGACGACACGAUUAUGGAGGCGGAAUCGAUGGGCUCCCCAUCCCAGAGCCUAAUAUUACACCUCCCCACCGCCUCCCAACCUGGUUUUAAAGACCAGCCCACUGCCACCCCCACCCAACUCUGUUGAUGGAAGCAACGACCACAAUCAAGUGCCAACAGGGCGCAAUGCAGGGACGGCCACUUCGUAUUGCAACACAGAACAUGCAGGGUCUGCUGGCCAAACACAAGGACAAGAUUCAUGCAGCAGCCAAACAGUGGAUAGAGAUGGGGCUGGAUGUGAUCUGCCUGCAGGAAACCCACCACACCAAUGCCCACCACCAAUCCCUGUUUGAACGCGAGCUAAGCAUGGCAGCUGCAACAGCCCACAGCCAGGGCUGGCGAGUAGUGGCCAGCUCGUGGUCUAACUCCAUCCACACGGGGGGCGUCCUUACCCUCGUCCGACAAGGCCUAACAGCUACCGUGGAGACCAAGCCUAAUAAGCCGAGUGUACAGGGUCGGCUGACGAGCUGCCUGCUUCGCUGGGGAGGACACUGCAUUGAGGUCUGCAACAUCUAUGUCCCCACCGGCACUACUCAUAGAGCAGCAGCCCUCAGGCAAGAACUGAUCAGCAACAUCCUGGCAGCAACGGCCACGCAGGCAGAUACAAACAAUGACACCACCCUUAUAUGGGCGGGGGACUUCAACUUUGUCGAAAACCCAGUGCUGGACUCCACAGCGGGGGAGGAUGGGCGGAGGGGAGAUGGCCCCAUAGCAGAAAUGCUCCGCACAGCUGGGCCAGCCAUGAUGGAUAGUCACCGUCAGCUUCAUCCCCUGCGCCAUGACUACACCCACCUCUACCGAGCGCCCCGCCCAGGAGGCUCCCGACUGGAUCGCAUUUAUGUGAAUCAAGCCGUGAUGCCGUAUGUUGCUCGCACGGAGAUUAUCCAGCACACCCCCUCAGAUCACCAGCCGAUGGUCCUACACCUGCUGCCUCGCCGGGUUGAACAGAGGGGCCCGGGCAUUCGCCGGGUGCGCAUGGCCUUCACGGCGCAUGAAGACCUGGCCACGAGCCUGGAGGCCUGGAUUACCGACCAGUGUGCCGCGGCCCCAUCUGUGGAGGACAAUCCUGCUGGCCUGAUCGAGUGGUGGCCUGCCUUCAAACGCCGCCUCGCUACUCGUGCACAUCAGCUCAACAAAACAGCGCAACAUCGCAGGCUGCACCCAGGAGCCCGUGUACAAGCAGCCCUACCAGCAGUCCAGCAGGCCCGACAAAGGGUCGACACAGAGCCCGGAGCACAGCAGCCCUUACAGCAACUGGUGGACGCACAGGCGGCACUAGCACGGGCCCACCGAGAGGACUGCAGCAAGGAGGCGAUGGAGGCCCGCAUACACUGGCUACGGGCAGGGGAGCGGCCGAGCCCAGCCAUGACUGCAUUCAUCCAGGCCCAAAGCGCGGACCAACAACCAGCUCCCGUCGCCCUGCAAGCCCAGUCCGGCCGCCUAGUGACUAAUCCUAGCCAGCUUCCCCAGGUGGUCGCAGACUUCUGGAGUGAAGUGAGCCGAACUCCCAACUACAUCUGCCCCCAAGCCCAGCAGGAGGUGCUAAACUCCCUGGCGGCCGCCAACAUCUCGCUACCCGCAGAGGCAGAUGAACAGCUGGGAUCCAGAACCAUCACGGCCACCGAGUUACGAAAGGCUCUUAAGAAAAGCCAGCCUGGCAAGGCCCCGGGGUGGGACGGCAUCCCAGCCGACAUCUACAGGAAAUUCUGGUCGGCCAUUGGCACCACCAUGGCUGGCCUGCUCACCGCCAUAGGCUUGACGGGGCAGGUGCCGAAGGGCUUCUUGGAGGGGGUACUGACGGUGAUCUACAAAAAAGGCGACCCCAAACUCCCUGGCAACUACCGUCCUAUCACCCUGCUUUGUUCGGACUACCGACUGCUCACCAAAGUGCUGGCCAACCGCCUAAGCCCUGCCCUUGGCCAAGUCAUAACCCCCGAGCAAUCAGCCUUCCUACCUAGGCGCCUCAUUGGAGCUAGUGUGCUAUUCCUGCGUCACCUGUCACACCUCCUUCGCAAGCAGAACCGCCGGGGGCUCCUGGCAUUCCUGGACUUCGCCAAGGCCUAUGACACGGUGGAUCGUGGGUUCCUCCUGGCAGCAAUGGAGACCAUGGGUGCAGGGCCACAGCUCUGCGCCUGGGUACGGCUGCUGCUGAGCGAAACACGAGCCAGAGCGAUGGUGAAUGGCUACAAAUCGAAGCUGGUGAACAUGGAAGCAGGGGUACGGCAAGGGUGCCCCCUCACACCCUUGCUCUACCUCUUCGUUGCUCAGGCCCUACAAUGCUGACUCCGGAGCCAAGACGUGGGGAUCAAAUUACAGCCAGCCGACUCACAACCAGUCACCGCGUGCCAAUAUGCGGAUGACACGGAAGUGGCGCUGCAGGGUGAAGACUCAGUACCAUCAUUCCUCCAGGCCAUGGACACCUUUGCCCGGGUGUCUGGCCAACGCCUAAAUCUCGACAAAGUGGAGCUGCUGUGGAUUGGCCAAUUAAACCAACAGCAGGCGCAACCUGCAACCCAGGCCGGACCCCAAUCAGCUGCCCCUCAGCAGGAGUCAAUAGGAGGUCUCAAGGUGGUGACCACCGCCACCGCCCUGAACCCGCCAAUUGACAACCAGCCAUCCCCGCCACAGCCCGACUGGAUGAAGAGACUCAGGGAAGCCAAGCGGCGACUGCAGCGGCUCUCCCGCUUCCCGCUAUCAGCAUUUGGUCGAGCCACAGCGGCAUCGGUGUACGGAAUGCACACAGUCACCUGGCACAUGGAGCAUGGUGGGCCGCCCCCCAACCGUACGCUGGACGAAAUAGAACGCCUAACGGCCCGCCUCGUCGACCGGCAGCAGGGCCCAGAAGACCCCGGCCGCCGUUUGACAGGGGUGCCUAAGGAUCUCUUGACCGGCCACCCGUCGGCUGGAGGCUUUGGCCUGCUGCCCCUCCAGCAACACAUCCAGGCUCGGCAUGCGGUAUGGGCUGUGCACUUCAUCAUAGCGGCCCUCGGGCUAUCUAACGCGUCAUGUGGGACAGGGACAGGUGGAGCUGCAGGAACCACAGGUGGUACCGGGGGACACGGGAGGGCAGAUGGUAGUCUCCAUCCCUGGGUCCGGACGCUCUCCGCCUAUAUGCUGCUCACCCACCCCGCCUUCCAACCGUGGGCCCUGACGACCGCCAGCCAAGCCGGGCCCCGACUCGGCGGAAGCGACCUACCCACGGAUAUCAGCCGGAUUGUGGGAGCCCUGGGACACCUACCACCGCUCCGGGAUAUCGAGACCAGCCCCCUGUCCCCCGGACCGUGGUGCUGGGCAACCGUGUUGUGGGGUAACCCGUUGCUCCCCAAUACCGGCGAGGCAGACCCAGACAGUUUGAACCGCCGCCCGGGCCUGGAGACGCACUUCGUGGGGAUCGCUACAUGCAGGAAACUGCAAACGGUGGGCGACCUAGUGCGGGUCUGGGACCUAGUGGUGCAUACUCGAGUGGCCUCCCUCCCCAGGUCGACCUGGCCCGAAUGGGUCAGGACACACCUCGACCCAUCAACCCCAGCACCCACACGAGACAGGUCAGCGACCCUGGCAGCCCUUAAGACGCUACAUGGCGCUAUCAACCCGGCCUGGCUCGAAGCUGCAAGAGCAGUGGAAACCCAACAGCAACAGCAACCCCAGCCGCAGACACAGCUGCAGCCACAGCCGCAGUCACAGCCACAGCCGCAGCCACAGCCGCAGCCACAGCCGCAGCCACAGCCGCAGCCACAGCCGCAGCCACAGCCGCAGCCACAGCCGCAGCCACAGCCGCAGCUACAGCCGCAGCCUCAGCCGCAGCCACAGCCGCAGGUACAGCCACAACAGCUGCAAACACAACCACAGCUACAGACACAGCAUCAGCCGCAGCCGCAACAGCAGCAACAGCCACAGCAACAGCUACAGAUGCAGCCGCAUGAGCAGCAACCCCAACAGCAGCAGCCAGGGAGGCCAACGGCGGGGGAUAUGGCGGCUCCAAGCACCCCCAACAGCACUCAGGCGAUGGCUAUGAUCCUAAAGUGGGUCGGAUGGCAGAUGCCGGGCGGCACAACAACCGUCCCACUCACACGCCUGACGGUCCGCCUAGCGACACAGCUGCAAUGCGGGGCCACCGAGGAGAAACGGGGACGCUUGAUGGCAGCAUUUGUGCAAGAAGUGUUGCACCCGCAGGAAACGGCACCUUCCUCCUCAGUGGAAACAAGCCGCUUCAGGGCGACGCAAGCCCGCUUGUGGUCGGGGGUGCGGUGGGAGAACGAGAACAAAGAAACACUGUGGCGGCUCACCGUGGACGGCAUCCCCCUGCCCGGCAACACGCACCUGGCCCGCAUGGUGCCGGAGCGCUGUGGGUGUGGAGGGUUCGGCAACGCCAGCAACCAGCACUGCUCCCCACGCAUGCACCACUUCUGGGAGUGCCCCGUCGCACAAGCUGUCCGGGAGCAGAUUGAUCGACACAUACAGCCCUCCCAGGAGGCAGCGACAGGCGGCAUCACCCGGAAGCAGCUGUGGUUGGUCCAAGCCCCGACCGGCUGCGAGCAGGCCCCCUGGGAUGUGAUCGCCCUGGCAGCCCUGUCUGCCAUGGAGGUAGGCAGGUGCUGUCUGCGAGCAGCCGGAAGGCGACUGGAAAGGGCGGCUAACCCCGCGACAGAACAGCCAGAGCAAGUGCAACAGAUCCAGGUGCAAGGGCCCCAACAGCGGCGGAUAACGGACUUCUUUCACCUGGCCAACGGAGUGAGACCGCACGAGGGGCCGCCGCUGAACGCGCCGGUACUCGAGGAUCCAACGCAGGGGCCCAUCGCGGGACCGGGGACGGCAACAGCAGCAGCAACAGCAGCAGCAACAGCAGCAGCAGCAGCAGCAACAGCAGCAGCAACCCCCCUGGAAUACGCCCGUGCUCGGGCAGUAGUGGACUUCUGGGCGCGCUUGCGCUCUUUCACCACGCUUAAUGUCCCAAGGCGGGGCUGGGACGAAGUGGGACCCCACCACCCGAUCCUGUCAAUCGUCGGGGGAGCACUGCGCUGCGCGAAGGCGGUGGACAUCACGACCUAAUGGUCAAGCGGACACGGCGGGAGCUGGAGUUUAGGGGAUAAGGGGAUAGGGUGUCGAGGCGCGGAGGGGGGUUUUGAGGUGGUGGGGGUGGUAGGGAGGUCGAGAGGGAGGUUGAGGGGAUAUGUUGCGAGGGGGGCGGGAUCAGGGAUGGGGCUUGGGGGGUUGCCGUGCAAGGGGACAUGGGGGAGGGAGGGUUUAUUUGCCUGGGGGAGCCGUACCUGCGGAGGGGGGGGAGACCGGGGAAAGGGCGGGGAGAGCCGGGGGGGGAGGGGAAGAGGUAGAGAGUACACCAAGAGGAUGUAGGGUUGAGGGGUGGUGAGUGGAAACAGGUGGCCGUAGCGAGGGCGCGGAUGAGGGGGAGGUGGGCACCCAGAAGGGGGGGCCGUACUCGAAGGUGCGCGUGUGGUGCAGGACUAGGUUCUUCAGGGUACGAGACCGGGUUUUUCGUGGUGCGGCGUCUAGGUGAGAUAGGAUCUUGGGAACCAGCCGUCUUGGUAGAGCGGUAUUGGGGGGGCGCCGAGCUGGCUACCCUCCCCCCCUGUGGUUUCCGGAGGCUUGAUCGCCCGGCGUUGCCGCAGGGUCUUCCCGUUUGAGUACUUUUCAAUUUAGACCCAGUGCUGUGGAAGGGCGCGGACUUGUGCGGUGUUACCCCCUCGACGGGGGCUAUCUCCCCUGGACUAGCCCAGGGAGGGAGAGGCGGAGGAGGGUAGUAGUCUCAGGAGGCUGUUUGGCGUCUUGUGGUGUGAGCUCUAUGCGCUCUUUUUUGCGUGAGGAUUUUUGAGCUUGGUCACCUCCCCAGCCCGGGAAGACUCGUUGGGCUCCCGGUCGCCCAAGUCCUGGUAGCGAGCUCUCUGAGAUGCUCGGUUCGUUCGGUCGGCAGGUAGAGCCCCCCAGUUGAGACUUCGUUUAGGUUAGGAGACCAACGGGCAUAGAUCCCGUCUAGUUGGAGCGCCAAACAAGCGCUGUUGCGUGCCGGCCGUCGUUUCCCGUGCGGCCUGACCCGGGGGCGGAGUGCAUGAGACUAACCAGCCGUAUGCACCCGCCCCCCGCGCUGUGCUUCGGCCCUGGGCCCCCGGCUUUUCAGCCCACAGUGUAAUCAACGUCAUACAUACAUACAUGGAUGAGACCAAGCUUGACUAAGCUGCUACUAUGACUGUUGGCCAACCGCGGCCGUGGCCACCGACAGCGACCUCAAUUGUUUGAGCGUAGUUAUGUUUAUCUAAUUAGCCUGAAAAUGUUGCAGAGGCGAGCAGCAGUGUCUGUUAGCUGCGGCAAUGUUCAAAAUGGCCGCCAGCCGACCUCAGCCGUGAGACCGCAAUCCAUACCGACCAAAAAGAUAAAGGCCGUCAGUGGCUUUUACGGAACAAAUGAAGGCUUGGCUAUCUACAGAGCCACACUAGAACUGGAACCGAUCGUGGUGACAGUCCGGUGGCCAGCGGGCUCAGAUACGGGCGACAUCAUCGCGCAAAUAUACGGUCCAUUAGGACUUCAAAUUCUGGCAACAAUUGGCCAAAUCUUCCGCAGCAACCAGGAGUUCAACCGUAUACUAAGGGUUUUAUACAUACAUGCAUACAUACAUGCAUACAUGCAUGCAUACAUGCAUACAUACAUGCAUACAUGCAUACAUACAUGCAUACAUGCAUGCAUACAUGCAUACAUACAUGCAUACAUGCAUGCAUACAUGCAUACAUANNNNNNNNNNNNNNNNNNNNNNNNNNNNNNNNNNNNNNNNNNNNNNNNNNNNNNNNNNNNNNNNNNNNNNNNNNNNNNNNNNNNNNNNNNNNNNNNNNNNNNNNNNNNNNNNNNNNNNNNNNNNNNNNNNNNNNNNNNNNNNNNNNNNNNNNNNNNNNNNNNNNNNNNNNNNNNNNNNNNNNNNNNNNNNNNNNNNNNNNNNNNNNNNNNNNNNNNNNNNNNNNNNNNNNNNNNNNNNNNNNNNNNNNNNNNNNNNNNNNNNNNNNNNNNNNNNNNNNNNNNNNNNNNNNNNNNNNNNNNNNNNNNNNNNNNNNNNNNNNNNNNNNNNNNNNNNNNNNNNNNNNNNNNNNNNNNNNNNNNNNNNNNNNNNNNNNNNNNNNNNNNNNNNNNNNNNNNNNNNNNNNNNNNNNNNNNNNNNNNNNNNNNNNNNNNNNNNNNNNNNNNNNNNNNNNNNNNNNNNNNNNNNNNNNNNNNNNNNNNNNNNNNNNNNNNNNNNNNNNNNNNNNNNNNNNNNNNNNNNNNNNNNNNNNNNNNNNNNNNNNNNNNNNNNNNNNNNNNNNNNNNNNNNNNNNNNNNNNNNNNNNNNNNNNNNNNNNNNNNNNNNNNNNNNNNNNNNNNNNNNNNNNNNNNNNNNNNNNNNNNNNNNNNNNNNNNNNNNNNNNNNNNNNNNNNNNNNNNNNNNNNNNNNNNNNNNNNNNNNNNNNNNNNNNNNNNNNNNNNNNNNNNNNNNNNNNNNNNNNNNNNNNNNNNNNNNNNNNNNNNNNNNNNNNNNNNNNNNNNNNNNNNNNNNNNNNNNNNNNNNNNNNNNNNNNNNNNNNNNNNNNNNNNNNNNNNNNNNNNNNNNNNNNNNNNNNNNNNNNNNNNNNNNNNNNNNNNNNNNNNNNNNNNNNNNNNNNNNNNNNNNNNNNNNNNNNNNNNNNNNNNNNNNNNNNNNNNNNNNNNNNNNNNNNNNNNNNNNNNNNNNNNNNNNNNNNNNNNNNNNNNNNNNNNNNNNNNNNNNNNNNNNNNNNNNNNNNNNNNNNNNNNNNNNNNNNNNNNNNNNNNNNNNNNNNNNNNNNNNNNNNNNNNNNNNNNNNNNNNNNNNNNNNNNNNNNNNNNNNNNNNNNNNNNNNNNNNNNNNNNNNNNNNNNNNNNNNNNNNNNNNNNNNNNNNNNNNNNNNNNNNNNNNNNNNNNNNNNNNNNNNNNNNNNNNNNNNNNNNNNNNNNNNNNNNNNNNNNNNNNNNNNNNNNNNNNNNNNNNNNNNNNNNNNNNNNNNNNNNNNNNNNNNNNNNNNNNNNNNNNNNNNNNNNNNNNNNNNNNNNNNNNNNNNNNNNNNNNNNNNNNNNNNNNNNNNNNNNNNNNNNNNNNNNNNNNNNNNNNNNNNNNNNNNNNNNNNNNNNNNNNNNNNNNNNNNNNNNNNNNNNNNNNNNNNNNNNNNNNNNNNNNNNNNNNNNNNNNNNNNNNNNNNNNNNNNNNNNNNNNNNNNNNNNNNNNNNNNNNNNNNNNNNNNNNNNNNNNNNNNNNNNNNNNNNNNNNNNNNNNNNNNNNNNNNNNNNNNNNNNNNNNNNNNNNNNNNNNNNNNNNNNNNNNNNNNNNNNNNNNNNNNNNNNNNNNNNNNNNNNNNNNNNNNNNNNNNNNNNNNNNNNNNNNNNNNNNNNNNNNNNNNNNNNNNNNNNNNNNNNNNNNNNNNNNNNNNNNNNNNNNNNNNNNNNNNNNNNNNNNNNNNNNNNNNNNNNNNNNNNNNNNNNNNNNNNNNNNNNNNNNNNNNNNNNNNNNNNNNNNNNNNNNNNNNNNNNNNNNNNNNNNNNNNNNNNNNNNNNNNNNNNNNNCCGCCCGGGAUGACUCGUCGGGCUCCCGGUCGCCCAGGUCCUGGUUGCGAGCUCUCUGAGAUGCUCGGUUCGUUCGGUCGGCAGGAAGAGCCCCCCAGUUGCGACUUCGUUUAUGUUAGGAGACCAACGGGCAUAGAUCCCGUCUAGUUGGAGCGCCAAACAAGCGCUGUUGCGUGCCGGCCGUCGUUCCAUACAUACAUACAUGCAUGCAUGCAUGCAUGCAUGCAUGCAUGCAUGCAUACAUGCAUACAUGCAUACAUGCAUACAUACAUACAUACAUACAUACGGGCAUUCGCCGGGUGCGCAUGGCCUUCACGGCGCAUGAAGACCUGGCCACGAGCCUGGAGGCCUGGAUUACCGACCAGUGUGCCGCGGCCCCAUCUGUGGAGGACAAUCCUGCUGGCCUGAUCGAGUGGUGGCCUGCCUUCAAACGCCGCCUCGCUACUCGUGCACAUCAGCUCAACAAAACAGCACAACAUCGCAGGCUGCACCCAGGAGCCCGUGUACAAGCAGCCCUACCAGCAGUCCAGCAGGCCCGACAAAGGGUCGACACAGAGCCCGGAGCACAGCAGCCCUUACAGCAACUGGUGGACGCACAGGCGGCACUAGCACGGGCCCACCGAGAGGACUGCAGCAAGGAGGCGAUGGGGGCCCGCAUACACUGGCUACAGGCAGGGGAGCGGCCGAGCCCAGCCAUGACUGCAUUCAUCCAGGCCCAAAGCGCGGACCAACAACCAGCUCCCGUCGCCCUGCAAGCCCAGUCCGGCCGCCUAGUGACUAAUCCUAGCCAGCUUCCCCAGGUGGUCGCAGACUUCUGGAGUGAAGUGAGCCGAGCUCCCAACUACAUCUGCCCCCAAGCCCAGCAGGAGGUGCUAAACUCCCUGGCGGCCGCCAACAUCUCGCUACCCGCAGAGGCAGAUGAACAGCUGGGAUCCAGAACCAUCACGGCCACCGAGUUACGAAAGGCUCUUAAGAAAAGCCAGCCUGGCAAGGCCCCGGGGUGGGACGGCAUCCCAGCCGACAUCUACAGGAAAUUCUGGUCGGCCAUUGGCACCACCAUGGCUGGCCUGCUCACCGCCAUAGGCUUGACGGGGCAGGUGCCGAAGGGCUUCUGGAGGGGGUACUGACGGUGAUCUCAAAAAAGCNNNNNNNNNNNNNNNNNNNNNNNNNNNNNNNNNNNNNNNNNNNNNNNNNNCCUGCUGCCCCUCCAGCAACACAUCCAGGCUCGGCAUGCGGUAUGGGCUGUGCACUUCAUCAUAGCGGCCCUCGGGCUAUCUAACGCGUCAUGUGGGCCAGGGACAGGUGGAGCUGCAGGAACCACAGGUGGUACCGGGGGACACAGGAGGGCAGGUGGUGGUCUCCAUCCCUGGGUCCGGACGCUCUCCACCUAUAUGCUGCUCACCCACCCCACCUUCCAACCGUGGGCCCUGAUGACCGCCAGCCAAGCCGGGCCCCGACUCGGCAGAAGUGACCUACCCACGGAUAUCAGCCGGAUUGUGGGCGCCCUGGGACACCUACCACUGCUCCGGGAUAUCGAGACCAGCCCCCUGUCCCCCGGACCGUGGUGCUGGGCAACCGUGUUGUGGGGUAACCCGUUGCUCCCCAAUACCGGUGAGGCAGACCCAGACAGUUUGAACCGCCACCCGGGCCUGGAGACGCACUUCGUGGGGAUCGCUACAUGCAGGAAACUGCAAACGGUGGGUGACCUAGUGCGGGUCUGGGACCUAGUGGUGCAUACUCGAGUGGCCUCCCUCCCCAGGUCGACCUUGUCACGACAAUCUAGCGUCACGUUCAUUUUACCGUCUUUAUAAUCGUCUUAGGUUAUAAUCGGUGUGAAUACACGAAUUUCGUGUAUAAUCGUGUAAGGUGUUUGGUUCUUAUCUUACACUUCGCUGAUCGACUUAUGGACGAGACGUGAAUGUAUGCUCGUUUGCGUAUGUUUUUGUAUUUUACCUGUUAAUUGUCUAUUUCUUGUGUGAAUGUUCUGUCACACGGUCAUAAGGUGUUUCACUUGUGUCAUUUGUGGACUAUACGUCGUGGUCGUACUCGAGGCUUGUCUUUUGAGGGCCUCCUGUGAUCAACAACUUGACUUCGGUAUUUAUAGCCGGCAGCGAGCUUGGAAAAGUCGCUUUACGGCUCAUGAUCGGAACAUUGUAAAGUUCUCUGAGCUAGACAACAAGCCCUGUGCGGACCUCCCUUCUCGUAAGCCACAUAAGUAACUUCCUUUCACCAGCCGAACUCCUGUGUGGGCCACUCAACGCCCAUAUCCUUCACGCCGGGCAUACUCAGUUGGUGAGGUAAAUCUUUGCCACUGUUGAUUGAUUGCCUGGAGGGAAUCUUGGCCCCUUUCGCGGGUUGCUAUUUGCUGCGUAUUACGACUUGCCCGUUCGUGUGCCGUCUAGUCAGCAUUCAAGCUACCUGCAGGACUUCGCCUAGACCACCCUGCAUUCCAUAGCCGUAAAGCCUAAAUCAGGCUAGAAGACCAAGUAAGUUCGGUUUUUGGUUUACCUUAGGUGUUCUGUCGCCUAGGGGAUAUUCGGGUUGCUUUUCGCAGCACCCUUUUUGGUAGGUUAGGUAGGCUAGGUCACGCCAGCCGCACCUGUUAGCAGUGUUACGCACAGCUGCCCUACUAUUCAGCAAUUUCGGGCCAUUUUCUACUGGGUCGAUUUGCUUUCGUAUUCGGUCACUCUGACAAUCGAUACUGUGUCACGCACAGCCGUCUGUUGGACACUCGAUCCCGAAUACUUUAUACAAUCAACUCGUUUUACCAUCUAGGCUUGGUCAGCCCAGCCUAACAUUAUUAUUAUAUAAUACAUUCAGCUCACCUGAACAGCAGGUUCGAGCUUCUCUGUGCUUAACGAUCAUUUCGCGUACCUUCGGCCGAAUUAUACGGGGUCACACCAAUUCUUUUGCUUUCACUAGCCUCAAUUCGCUACUGCAGUUUACAUCGAGGCAGUUAACCCCAGGCCACGCAGAGGACGCUCAGGGCGCAGUCCCUUUGGUUUUCACACCAACACUUUUCUUCACAGUGGUGUUCGGGCCACUCCAGUCAGACACCGGCACCAUCGGUUGAUUCCACAUAUCUUCGAGCCUCUUGGCAAAUCUCCUGAACUCACUUUUAUAGGUCUUUUGGCUCGCGGCGUUAGGGUCGACAUCGAGCCGCGACCGGUCAUUUGCAAUAUCCGCUACCUGUCAGCUGUGCAGCUAUAUCUGGACCUGGACCAGCUUCCCAGGCCGAGGCAAACUAUUGUUAUCAGCACAACAGGUGUUGCAAUUUCCUCUAUUUGAAUACGGAGACUUUUGUGCGCCUAAGCGCAAUGAUAUGAUGGAGUAAACGCUGCAAGCUUAUCGAGUCGGUACUCUACUCUUUCCCGACCCAGCGUUACCAAUUAUUCCAGCUGUUUUUACGCAGCUACUCUUUGUUUGCAGCUCAAUACUACGCAACUUUACAGCGACACCAGCUUAGGUGGGGCGGGUUUAGUACUCUUUAGUAGUCGCUAGGCUUUUUAUUGCUUAGUCCUUGCCUGUUCGCUUCGCGUUUGUUGCUGCAUCUUUUCCUUUUUCUUAUCUUGUUUUUCGUAAGCUAAUUGUUACACAGGGAAGCAUAAGUCCCACGGAGCCUCUACGUCGCAACAUCCCGCGGGCCGCCACUGCGCAACAUCUUCGCUCGACGACUCAGCGAGAUCAGCAGGAGGUAAGCAAGGUUUCGCGUAAGGAUACACGUAGGGUGUCCACCUCAGGGUCUAGUACUAGUGAAGCCGCCCGUAUUCCGCGCUCGCGUUCCGAUAGUGGCCUAGCAGUACAGGUGGAACUUCCCCUGACUAAGUUAGCUCUAACUGAGGGUGAGGUUACUGCUCCACUAGAAACCCGCGGAACAGAUUCCGAUAGGGAGAAGUGGUCGCGUCUCUUUGAAGCGCUAGGUAGGCCCCGCACCUACAUCAACCCUAUCUUUUCUAGGGAUAGCGACUCAGACGACGAAAUAAUGCAGAACCUCUACCCCACUCUCGACCCGUUCCAGCACAGCAGGUUGGAUUAUUUCCUCACUAAGGUUUUCCAGCAAGGAGUUGCCUACCCUCUUUCUAGGAACAACUUGUCUGUUGAGAGCCUUAAGUCGUACCUGGACGCUCUGCCUGGACGAAACACGCCAUUUGAAGCGUGGUACAACUCACACAGGCAAAACCUCAUAUCUAGGGUAACCCCAAAGUUUAGAAAAAAAAGUAUUCUCAUCUCAAUCUAUUGAGAUCUCAUGAGAUCUCAAUAGAAUGGGUUAUAUUCUAAUCUCAAGUUUUGGCAGCUUUCUGGGAAAUGCAUGACUGGCUCUGAAACUUUGUAGGAUGAUUCUGUAUGGUAUAUUUGUUAUAAUAAUUAAGUUUUGGGACGUUGCGAAGCACAAUUGCACGACAGAAACAAGCAAUUAUACUCCGCCGCAGUAUUGACCCAUGGGUCACAGCAUGCGAGGGCGCACUGGACGGUCGAGUUCACGCCACAGGCGCUUAUCCCUUUGAUGCUUCUUAAACUCCAUACCCUAAGGGUUAAAGUUUCAACGAAUCAGGGCCCAGAUCAUCAUUCCUAAGCCCUGGCAAUGCACAAAAGCCGACAUGGUAUGCCAUCAAGAUCCCAUGCUGGCCAAGUUCAGCAGACAUAGACUGCUACCAAUGCCGACCGAACAACUUGAAUCCCUAGCUACUUCACUCCUCCUCCUCCCCGGCCAGCAGCUGCAUCACCACCUCCUCAUCCGACAGGGUGUUGCGCUUGGCCGCGUAGCUGUCGUUCUGGCGGAUGAAGAUGAGCUUCAUCGCACGCAUCUGCCCCAGGCGGUUGUGGGCCUUGUGGAACAGGUUACCCCACAGCGACCAGUUGCGCUCUGAUGCGCAGGUGGUUGCGUGCAUGCGGAGGACGCGGUUGGCCACGAAAGCCAGGGCCGGAUACGAAUCCGCCAUAUGCACCGUCCAAAACUUCAGGCGCAACGGCAGCCCGGCCAGCUCAACCUUCUUCACCUUCGACUUGCCAACCGUCUGCUCGACCUCCUUGCGUGCAGUCAGCGUUGGCAUGAAAUCACGGCACUCAUCCGGUACCCUACCGGUCUAGUAAGGAAAUAUAUGGCUUCUAAAGAUUUAUAAAGAAUUAUAGUGCCGUACAUUAGAUAACGACCCAACCGUCUCCUCAAGUGCCAAAAAAGACCUUCUAAAUUCUCAAUGAGAUUCUCAAGAGAAAUAAUUAGAUUAGAAAACCGACUUUAGAUGAGUGCCAACCCUACUCAUAUCUAAAGCCGCAGCACACUUGGUGUAUCCGAACCAGGUGCGGCAGCCAACACCGUCUCCCCGCGUCAACUGUUUGACUAUUACGCCCACAUCCUAGAGGAAAACUUUGCCUCCGCGCGCGCUGAAAGUGAUCUUGCGCGCUUCAAAAGCAUGCAGCAGGGAGCUCUCUCUCCCAUAGUCUUCAAGGAUAUGCUGCUAGCGCUUGAGAAGAAGCUGGACGGUAGAGUCAGUAAACACCAAGUCGCCGAACGUUUCCUUGAGGGCUUAAACCCCGUGGUUCGGCAUCACCUGGAGAGGCACCUCAUCACCGUGGAGCGUACCAAAUGGUAUGAUCGUACCGGAUUGCCUGUGAAAUCUUUUGGUACUGUAUUGCCGAGGGUAUCACACUGCAGGCGGAGUGGCGGCCGCGAGAAGAAAACACUCUGGCGGACUACCUCUCAAAGCUGCAGGACCGGGACGACUGGAUGGUGAACCGUAAGGAAUUUCAGAGGCUCAACACCGCCUGGGGCCCCUUUGACAUUGAUCUUUUCGCGUCACACACCAAUCACCAGCUGCCACAAUACUAUUCCCGCUUUUUCACGCCAGAUACCGCGGGUGUAGAUGCCUUUCGGUUCCACUGGGGGCGGAAUUGCUGGGUGAAGGUCCUGCGGCACGCAGAGCUGUGCAAAGCACGCAUCUGUCUGAUCGUUCCCCUCUGGCCGACACACGACUGGUGGUCCUAUCUGACUCAAGACGGGAAGUGGUUUGCGCCUUGCGUCCACGGCCUAAGAGAGCUGGGCAAGGCGUAUGAUCUUUUCCUGCCAGGGUCUUCGGGAAACGAGGUCCCAAAAGGGUCCGCUAACUGGCUAUCGCUCGCACUUCUCAUCGAUUUCCAAACACCUUCCCCGCGCUGGAUCGCUGUGCCCCCCGACCCUUAUGCCCCCCGGCUUUCACAGGAAUAAGGGCACGCGUGCAGACACUGCUUGGCCAGGUGCCCUUGGACGCUAACCCAAUGAUCGGCGAUCUAGCUCUGGCGUUGGCAAGCCAGGCACACAAGGUGCGAGCUAGCAGCACAGUCGCCCAGUACAAGGAGCCAUGGCAGGAGUUCCUAGAUUGGGCAGAGCUACUACAUAUUCGGGCGAGCGACAUUUACGACAUCAGGCCAGAGAUAGUGGCCAUGUACCUGAUGCACGUCUACCAAACCGUGCAAGCGGAUGAAGUAGGUCCGGGUCGCAUCGCGGGAGCGAGCGCUGCUAUUGCCUGCCAUUUCUUCCUCACGGGCCGCCCCUCACCUACGGAGCACCCAGCAUGCAACCUCGUUCGGGACCUGGGCAGGCGCACACUGCAAGGGAAGAAGCUGCACAGGGAAAGCAUGCAACCAGAGCAUGUCCGCAUGUUGGCCGCUCACUUCGCUGGGCCGGAUGCCUCACUGCCAGACCUGAUGAUGGUAGCGGCCAUAUCAGUUAUGUUCGCGGGUUUCCUAAGGUUCAACGACCUAGCCCACAUCUCCGUCAAGUCUGAUCUGCUCACCCUGCACGACACUCACAUGGCCAUCACACUGCCUAGGUCCAAAACGGACCAGGAGGGCAAAGGGCAGACCAUCCGGAUCGCGCGCGUGGGGGGCGUGGCCUGCCCAGUGGGCUUGACAGAGAGGCUGCUGGCGCUUGGUAACUAUGUCCGUGUCCCCAGUUCCCCCGUGGAGGAUGUGGGUCCGCUGCUGUGCAGGGUUAAGACGACACAGCAAGGCCACCAGCUGCAGCAGAGGACCGGCUCUGUUCAGUCACCGAUCCCCAGCCUCAGCUAUACCUCCUUCCGGGAGAAGCUCGCUGCCAUGUGCAGCGCCGUGGGCAUCAAGCGCGGCAUCAUGCCACACUCCAUGCGCAUCGGGGGAAACAGUGCGGCAGCAGCCAGAGGGGUAUCUGAAGAAGCCCGCAAGGCCCAUGGUCGCUGGAAGACGGACGCAAUGGUUCAGCUAUAUACCCGGCUGGAAGACGAUGCCGCACUGGAAACCACGCGCAACCUGGGCCUCGCCUGAGUCAGAGGGCCCCUCCUGCUAUCUUUUCUGUCUGCAGUAGUGUAAGGCCCUUGGCAGCCCCGGUUUCGCCUCGCCCUGUCCUAUCCGGCACCCCGAACGCAACCAUACAGCAAGCCAUGAAGGCUAUAGGACAUAAUUGUAGCUUAGAUGCGGCAGGAGCAAAAGCGAGUAUAGCCUCUAAGCUAGGUUAUGUACGGCAGCCGUAUGGCUUGCUGAGAAUUCGAAUUCACUAUUUCAGCUGACAGCUCCAUAAUUCCGGCAUUCUGCCUACACUAUUGGAGCUUAUUAUUAUUGUUGCUCUCAUUGGGGCUCCUGGCAUUCCUGGACUUCGCCAAGGCCUAUGACACGGUGGAUCGUGGGUUCCUCCUGGCAGCAAUGGAGACCAUGGGUGCAGGGCCACAGCUCUGCGCCUGGAAACACGAGCCCAAGCGAUGGUGAAUGGCUACAAAUCGAAGCUGGUGAACAUGGAAGCAGGGGUACGGCAAGGGUGCCCCCUCACACCCUUGCUCUACCUCUUCGUUGCUCAGGCCCUACAAUGCUGGCUCCGGAGCCAAGACGUGGGGAUCAAAUUACAGCCAGCCGACUCACAACCAGUCACCGUGUGCCAAUAUGUGGAUGACACGGAAGUGGUGCUGCAGGGUGAAGACUCAGUACCAUCGUUCCUCCAGGCCAUGGACACCUUUGCCCGGGCAUCUGGCCAAUGCCUAAAUCUCGACAAAGUGGAGCUGCUGUGGAUUGGCCAAUUAAACCAACAGCAGGCGCAACCUGCAACCCAGGCCGGACCCCAAUCAGCUGCCCCUCAGCAGGAGUCAAGAGGAGGUCUCAAGGUGGUGACCACCGCCACCACCCUGAACCUGCCGAUUGACAACCAGCCAUCCCCGCCACAGCCCGACUGGAUGAAGAGACUCAGGGAAGCCAAGCAGCGACUGCAGCGGCUCUCCCGCUUCCCGCUAUCAGCAUUCGGUCGAGCCACAGCGGCAUCGGUGUACGGAAUGCAGACAGUCACCUGGCACAUGGAGCAUGGUGGGCCGCCCCCCAACAUUAUGCUGGACGAAAUAGAACGCCUAACGGCCCGCCUCGUCGACCGGCAGCAGGGCCCAGAAGACCCCGGCCGCCGCUUGACAGGGGUGCCUAAGGAUCUCUUGACUGGCCACCCGUCGGCUGGAGGCUUUGGCCUGCUGCCCCUCCAGCAACACAUCCAGGCUCGGCAUGUGGUAUGGGCUGUGCACUUCAUCAUAGCGGCCCUCGGGCUAUCUAACGCGUCAUGUGGGCCAGGGACAGGUGGAGCUGCAGGAACCACAGGUGGUACCGGGGGACACAGGAGGGCAGGUGGUGGUCUCCAUCCCUGGGUCCGGACGCUCUCCACCUAUAUGCUGCUCACCCACCCCACCUUCCAACCGUGGGCCCUGAUGACCGCCAGCCAAGCCGGGCCCCGACUCGGCAGAAGUGACCUACCCACGGAUAUCAGCCGGAUUGUGGGCGCCCUGGGACACCUACCACUGCUCCGGGAUAUCGAGACCAGCCCCCUGUCCCCUGGACCGUGGUGCUGGGCAACCGUGUUGUGGGGUAACCCGUUGCUCCCCAAUACCGGUGAGGCAGACCCAGACAGUUUGAACCGCCACCCGGGCCUGGAGACGCACUUCGUGGGGAUCGCUACAUGCAGGAAACUGCAAACGGUGGGGCGACCUAGUGCGGGUCUGGGACCUAGUGGUGCAUACUCGAGUGGCCUCCCUCCCCAGGUCGACCUGGCCCGAAUGGGUCAGGACACACCUCGACCCAUCAACCCCAGCACCCACGCGGGACAGGUCAGCGACCCUGGCAGCCCUUAAGACGCUACAUGGCGCUAUCAACCCAGCCUGGCUCGAAGCUGCAAGAGCAGUGGAAACCCAACAGCAACAGCAACCCCAGCCGCAGGCACAGCUGCAGCCACAGCCGCAGUCACAGCCACAGCCGCAGCCACAGCUGCAGCCACAGCUGCAGCCACAGCCGCAGCCACAGCUGCAGCCACAGCCGCAGCCACAGCUGCAGCCACAGCCGCAGCUACAGCCGCAGCCGCAGCCACAGCCGCAGCCACAGCCGCAGCCACAGCCGCAGCUACAGCCGCAGCCUCAGCCGCAGCCACAGCCGCAGGUACAGCCACAACAGAUGCAAACACAACCACAGCUACAGAUACAGCAUCAGCUGCAGCCACAACAGCAGCAACAGCCGCAGCAACAGCUACAGAUGCAGCCGCAUGAGCAGCAACCCCAACAGCAGCAGCCAGAGAUGCCAACAGCGGGGGAUAUGGUGGCUCCAAGCACCCCCAACAGCACUCAGGCGAUGGCUAUGAUCCUAAAGCGGGUCGGAUGGCAGAUACCGGGCGGCACAACAACCAUCCCACUCACACGCCUGACGGUCCGCCUAGCGACACAGCUGCAAUGCGGGGCCACCGAGGAGAAAUGGGGACGCUUGAUGGCAGCAUUUGUGCAAGAAGUGUUGGACCCGCAGGAAACGGCACCUUCCUCCUCAGCGGAAACAAGCCGCUUCAGGGCGACACAAGCCCGCUUGUGGUCGGGGGUGUGGUGGGAGAACGAGAACAAAGAAACCCUGUGGCGGCUCGCCAUGGAUGGCAUCCCCCUGCCCGGCAACAUGCACCUGGCCCGCAUGGUGCCUAAGUGCUGUGGGUGUGGAGGGUUCGGCAACGCCAGCAACCAGCACUGCUCCCCACGCAUGCACCACUUCUGGGAGUGCCCCCUCGCACAAGCUGUCCAGGAGCAGAUUGACUGACAUACAGCCCUCCCAGGAGGCAGCGACAGGCGGCAUCACCCGGAAGCAGCUGUGGUUGGUCCAAGCCCCGACCGGCUGCGAGCAGGCCCCCUGGGAUGUGAUCACCCUGGCGGCCCUGUCUGCUAUGGAGGUAGGCAGGUGCUGCCUGCGAGCAGCCGGAAGGCGACUGGAAAGGGCGGCUAACCCCGCGACAGAACAGCCAGAGCAAGCACAACAGAUCCAGGCGCAAGGGCCCCAACAGCGGCAAAUAACGGACUUCUUUCACCUGGCCAACGGAGUGAGACCGCACGAGGGGCCGCUGCUGAACGCGCCAGUACUCGAGGAUCAAACACAGGGGCCCAUCGUGGGACCGGGGACGGCGACAGCAGCAGCAACAGCAGCAGCAACAGCAGCAGCAACAGCAGCAGCAACAGCAGCAGCAACAGCAGCAGCAGCAGCAACAGCAGCAGCAACCCCCCUGGAAUACGCCUGCACUCGGGCAGUAGUGGACUUCUGGGCGUGCUUGCGCUCUUUCACCACGCUCAAUGUCCCAAGGCGGGGCUGGGACGGAGUGGGACCCCACCACCCGAUCCUGUCAAUCGUCGGGGGAGCACUGCACUGCGCGAAGGCGGUGGACAUCACGACCUAAUGGUCAAGCAGACGCGGCGGGAGCUGGAGUUUAGGGGAUAAGGGGAUAGGGUGUCGAGGCGCGGAGGGGGGAUUUGAGGUGGUGGGGGUGGUAGGGAGGUCGAGAGGGAGGUUGAGGGGAUAGGUUGUGAGGGGGGCGGGAUCAGGGAUGGGGCUUGGGGGGGUGCCGCGCAAGGGGACAUGGGGGAGGGAGGGUUUAUUUGCCUGGGGGAGCCGUACCGGCGGAGGGGGAGGAGACCGGGGAAAGGGCGGGGAGAGCCGGGGGGGGAGGGGAAGAGGUAAAGAGUACACCAAGAGGAUGUAGGGUUGAGGGGUGGUGAGUGGAAACAGGUGGCCGUAGCGAGUGCGCGGAUGAGGGGGAGGUGGGCACCCAGAAGGGGGGGCCGUACUCGAAGGUGCACGUGUGGUGCAGGACUAGGUUCUUCAGGGUAUGAGACCGGGUUUUUCAUGUUGCGGCGUCUAGGUGAGAUAGGAUCUUGGGAACCAGCCGUCUCGGUAUUGGCUGCAGGCAAGGGAGAGGCCGAGCCCAUCCCUUACAGCCUUCCUCCAGGCCCAGGCUAUAGACCAACAACCAGCCCCUGUCACCCUGCAAGCCUUGUCCGGCCGACUUGUUACCAACCCUGCUCAACUGCCCCAGGUGGUAGCCGACUUCUGGAAGGAUGUGAGCAAGGCCCCGGACUUCAUCUGCCCCCAGGCCCGCCAAGCCGUUCUGAACUCCCUCACCGCACCAACAUUAAGUUCCCAGCAGAGGCAGAUGAACAGCUUGGAGCCAAAAAGAUCACAGCCACCGAACUGCGGAAGGCACUCAAGAAGAACGCACCUGGCAAGGCCCCAGGGCGGGAUGGGAUUCCAGCCGACAUCUCCAGGAAAUUCUGGUCAGCCAUAGGUAAUACCAUGGCAGGCCUGUUCACUGCCAUUGGCACGACCGGGCAGGUGCCCGCAGGCUUCCUUGAAGGGAUCAUCACAGUGCUCUAUAAAAAAGGCGACCCCAAGCUCCCCGGCAACUACCGCCCCAUCACGUUGUUAUGCUCGGACUACCGGCUCUUUGCUAAGGUACUGGUGAACCGCUUGGGCCCAGCCCUGGGACGGGUCAUCACCCGAGCAAUCUGCCUUCCUCCCCAAGCGCCUGAUUGGGGCCAGCGUACUCUUCCUGCACCACCUGUCACACCUCCUCCACAAGCAGAACUGCCAAGGGCUUUUGGCAUUCCUGGACUUUGCCAAAGCAUACGAUACAGUGGAUCGCAGCUUCCACCUAGUGGCCAUGGAGGUGAUGGGGGCAGGGCCACAGCUGUGUGCGUGGGUACAUCUGCUACUGAGUGAAACCCGAGCCCGGGUGUAAGAGGGAUCAGCACCCCUGGCAUCUCUCAACAGAGUACUCUUUGCCUGAUGUUACAAUGGUGCGAGUUGCUAGGAAGGAGGGAGAUCCCGGGAUUGAAUCCGGUUGUGAACAUAACUUAUAUGUUACAUAACACAUCCCAGGCAUGAUGCUGCAUACUCUUACCCCAAAGGUGGAUGUCCAGGCGGGCGAGAAGUCUACCAGCUGAGUAAACCCACAGUCCUCCAUCUCGGACGGGGACUGACGAAAUGUCACAAACAACAAACUUACUUCCAAUCCUACAGGAUCUCAAACAAUCUAAAAUCCUACAGGAUAUGCCCGGGGGGGCGCCCGAGGAUGUUCACUUGAGGGGGGGAGGGAUGUAAGAGGGAUCAGCUCCCCUGGCAUCUCCAAACUGUGUACUCUUUGCCUGGUGUUACACUGGGCGAUGGUCAAAAGGUACAAGUCCAGGCUGGUAGACAUGGAGGCUGGUGUCCGACAGGGCUGCCCCCUGGCGCCUCUGCUGUACCUCUCCAUCACCCAAGCUCUCCAAUGCUGGCUCCGGAGCCAGGAGUUGGGAAUUAAGCUGCAACCGUCCGACCCAAAUCCCGUCACCACCUGCCAAUAUGCAGAUGACACGGAAGUGGUGUUGGAUGGCACGGAAUCAGUCCCCUCCUUCCUACAGGCCAUGGAAACAUUUGCCUGGGCAUCUGGCCAGCGACUCAAUCUGGAGAAAGUGGAACUGCUAUGGAUUGGCCAGCAGCGACCGCAACAACAGCAGCCAGCACCAGCAGCAGGACCCCAGCUAACAGCCCCCCAGCAGGAGACAAUCAGAGGACUUAAGGUGGUAACCACUGCUACUGCCCUGAACCUGCCGACAGACAACCAGGUGACCCCACCACAGCCGGACUGGAUGAAAAGGAUGUGAGAGGCCAAACGGCGGAUGCAGCAUCUGUCCCGCUUCCCGCUGUCAGCAUUUGGAAGGGCAACGGUGGCGUCGGUGUAUGGCUUGUGGACGGUCACCUGGCACAUGGAGCAUGGCAGACUGGCCCCAGACCGCAUGCUGGACGAGAUAGAGAGACUCACAGCUCGCCUGGUCGACCGCCAACAAGGCCCAGAUGAUCCUGGCCGACACUUGACUGGCGUGCCCAAGGAACUCCUGAUUGGUCACCCAUCGACAGGAGGCUUUGGUCUGCUGCCCCUCAAGAGCUCUGGCAACACAUCCAAGCCCGGUAUGCGGUGUGGGCAGCUCGUUUUGUCAUCACAACCCUAGGGCUGCGAACAGGAAACACGAGAACGGAUACAGGUGCAACAGACACAGAUAUGCAGGUGGACAGAGGUAUCCAUCCUUGGGUCCGCACGCUUUCAGCCUACCUUCUGCUCACGAACCCCGCUUUCCAGCCAUGGGCCCUGACAACCACGAGCCCAACUGGGCCCUGGCUUGGGACUCAUGACCUGCCGAAGGAUAUCAGCCAGAUUGUGGGGGCCCUGGGACACUUGCCGCCACCAGAGGACAUCGGGACCAACCCACUGACACCCGGUGACCGGUGCUGGGUGACUACAUUAUGGGGAAAUCCGCUAUUCCCCAAUGCUGGAGGGACUGACCCAACGGAACAGGGCCGCCACCCCGGCCUGGAGUACCAAUAGCCUGGGCUUGCUACCUGCAGGAAACUACAGACGGUAGGGGACCUGGUGCGGGUUUGGACCCUGGCAGAAAGCAGUGAUCUGGCAACCCUCCCUAGGACGGUGUGGCUGGAGUGGGCCCGGACUCACCUCGACCUGUUUACCCCGAUCUCCACGUGGGAUAAACCCGUGACCCGGGCAGCCCUCGCGGUGCUGCAUAGCAGCAUAAACCCUGCCUGGCUCGAAGCUGCUAAAAUGAUUGAGACCCGGCGACAGCAGCAGCAGCAGCAGCAGCAGCGGGGGCUAACGGAACCGAUGCAGUGGCAGCGGAAGGGGAGGAGGCUGUCAUACCGUCACCAGCACCACUGCUGACCAGCAUGCAAGUGAUAGGUAUGAUUGCUGGGUGAAUUGGGUGGUGUAUAUCUGGGAUGGCGGAAGCCAUCCCGCUGGCACACCUCACGGUUCGCCUGGCGACACAGCUGCAAUGUGGGCCUAUGGAGGAGAGGAGAAGAUGCCUGGUGGCUGAAUUUGUGCGGGAGGCGACGGAUCCUCAGGGCCUGUCACUGCCGCCCCCCUCGGAAAUCAGCCUAUUCAGGGUGAUGCAGGCCCGCGUAUGGUCGUGGGUACAAUGGGAGAAUGAGAAUAAUAGCCAGUUCACAUGCUACAUUACAUUAAGACUUUUUGGGAAAAGUGGUCGGUUCGGACAUGGUAACGGUACGUUACCGGUAAAGUGGACGAAAAGUCUAAAGUGACCCGGGGGGGGGUGAAUUUCGACCCCUCGUACCGUUACCUGAAUUGCGUCGCCAAUUUCGCGAGUUAUAACAAACAGCCAAGCCCAAUCGCUUAUAAAGACCACAUAUUUGACAAAUUGUGCGCGCUUUGCACUCCGACCGAAUUUCUAGUCACACCGCUGCAGUUUAUUUUGGAAAAUGAACAAGGACAACGCCGCUCAUGUUGCUCGCCCGCGCACGACCGCUUACAUAGCCAAUAUGUAACCCAUUGUAGUAUCAGGGCUGAAGCCAUCCGCGAAAUGGCAAGUCGGCCGCACUUCCGGCGGCAUGGGCUGCAUGGCCCCUAUGGCAUAAACAUGUCGGUUACCGACCGUUUGGGGCCCAUUAACCCAACCGGCCGGUUGAAUGGCGUUAACGGCCCGGUUGGGUUAACGGUCGGUUGGGUUAACGGCCAGUUGGGUUAAUGAUCAGUUGGGUUAACGGUCGGUUGGGUUAAUGGGCCCCAAACGGUCGGUAACCGGCAUGUUUAUGCCAUAGGGAGUAUCCCGGUAGCGCGGGAAGCAUCGUUCGCCAAUAUUAAUUAAAGGCCUCUAACACUGCAGGAAAAUUGUAGUAGAAGAUUUAGAACUAUGUAUGUAUUUAGUUUUAGUGUUUGUUCCCGCUUUGAGGGCGUGAAAUGCCGUGUCAUUGUCCCUAAUAAGUCAUUGUCCCGGCAUUUCAAUUGUCGCCCAUAAGCAUGAACCAGGCCACCAACUCACAAGCUUACAUGCAACAACUAAAACCAGGCAAUACUAGCUACGCAAGCUAUGCUAGGACAAACUUUUGAGACAAGGCAUCCUCCAAUUGGCACGCGGUAAAUUGACUUAGAUUGUUUGCCCUGGCAAACUUAUGUACUCCAAGCUCAUCCACUGGACGAUGCUGGCUGUAUUUCUUGCGUGGGCGAUCUUGUCGCUGACGGGCGAUGUUGUCCAGGGCGUUCCGGUCAAACUCGUAGGCGCCGACCUCAUUACCGUUGUCCAUGGACAUUGUGUUGGAAGGAUACGUUAAGGUUCAGAUAAAAUGAAGAAAUGAAGAAGCGCUCCUUCAUAGUAUGGAGAUGGUAGAAUCUUCAAGCAACUUUUGAACGACCAGGGAGAGUUGCUGAUAGGCGAAUUUGUAUAAAGCUAUAAAAUUCCUUUAUUCUUUCAAGGUAAAUGAAUGCUUAUGUAUUCGUCUGUUAGUAGCGUGAAGCUUUGAACACUCUUUGUACGGCAGAUUCGGCACAAUGUUUUGCCUCAUUGCGAUGUUGCCUGAAUAUUUUGAACAGAAGGGAUCACUGCUCAUGCUGGUGCAGCAAGACAUGUAAGGAGAUGGCCUGGUCACAAUCCAGCAGUCAUAUAUCGACAAUCUCAAGCUAUGACAACUUGUUACAUGUGUUUGUAAAAAAAGGGACUUUGCGAUGGUGUGGGGAGCUCUUUGAGUGGUGGGACUGUGGAAAUCCAGUUUGUUUCGCCCGUAACAAGUUUGUUACGGGCGAAACAACGUCCCUCUGAAACGUUUGGAUAUGCCUAUGCAACACAUUUCCUCAAUGUCAUGAACUGCAAGUAUUCUAAUCCAACAUCACCCCAAUCUCAGUGUAAACUAGUCUCCAAAUGUGCCUGCACAAGACUGUCACCCCUGUCACCCGGCAUUCACAUUGCCUUAACCUCCUCAAGCUUGUCGGGUUGUGACACGUGGGCAUGAACCUUGUGACAAUGGGCAUUGUCACAAAGAAACUGGUUGCAAUCAGAAAUGCAUUUUUGCUCAUGCCAGGUUACCGACAUCGGUUACCGAUUACUGGGGACGGUUAACGGAUAACGGUUCGCCCGGUAAUCCUACCGACCGGUUACCCAUCUCGUUAACUGGACCCGUUAGGUCGGAACCGGGCCGGAACCGGCCUGGAGUAUGCCAUUGGGACGCAAUUAAACCCCCGCCGUGAGAUGUGUCGGUGGCUGUGAGGCAGUUGUGGGGACAUGCCUGGGAGGCUGAAAGGGCAUAAAUCGCAUCAGGAGCCAUCGUACGCCGCAACAACGAUGCAUCACACCAUCAACUAGUUGCCAGAAAGGUGGCAGGGAACGCGGCUUGAUCAGACAUGCUCGCUAGGCAACCAUCAUGGGGAAGGGAUGUAAGGGUGUCCUCCUCUCGGAUGGGUCGAACUACUCCCAGUGGCUCGGCGACUUAGGCGAUUUCUUUGCAACAUCCAAGUUGAAGACUACAUCAACACCCGUCACCUCCGGGCCGCAACGCCCAAGACGCCCUGGAGGAGGACGCACAGGCGCUCGGCUACCUGCAUCUGUCCUGUGAACUGCCCAUCAAGCAGUUGCUCAGGAAUUGCCAGACCAUUCUCGCCGCCAUGCAGCUCUUACAGCAACAAUUGCGUUCUGCAUCCCAGGCCCGGCUGAGCCUGUUGGAGCCGCAGAAACAGCUGAGCAUGCGCGAUGGGAAGACGACCAUUGACUUCGUUCAGCAGGCAGAGCAGCUCCGUAGCAAUAUAAUUGUGGCCGGCGGCCAGUGGGACGAGAGCAUGAUGCACCACGCCAUUCUCCAUGGCCUGCCUCCGCAGUGCACCAUCACCGUCGAGUUGACGAUGUAUCAGCCCAACUUAACAACCCCACAGCUUGUGCUCAUGCUGCGUGAGAAGGAGAACAACCCUAAGACCUAAGCAAGCAAGACAAGCCUGGUGGGAGCUGUCAGCCCUGGCCGUGCUGCCAGUGGAAUCGGCAGCGCCGCCGGUGCUGCAGGCACCGUGGGGGCCAGCGACACCUGCCACUACUGUGGACAGCCAGGUCACUACGUUCGCGAGUGUCCCAUUAAGCAGGCGGACGAGUCCGUCGGCCUUCACCGCAGCAACACAUUCGAGCAGCUGCAUGCCGCCGGCAACAUCAGUUGAGGCAGCUGCAACCGCCACCGUGACUGUGGCGGCAGGGGCACUGGCAGCGGCAAUGGCGGUAACAGCAGGGCUGACAGAGCACAUGAAUGUGGCCAUGCUCGAUGCGGCAACAGCCACCACAAUGGUGGCGACACUGCAGGCGGCAGCAGUGGCAGCGGCUCGGGCAGCAGCAGAAGCAGCCCACGCCAGAGCCGUGCCCCAGUGCUGGUCAUCGACCGCAGUGGAAGCAGCUCACGAGUCACCCUCGACUCAGGCUCACCAUACCACCUCACGGGUGACCGCUCCCUGCUGCACAACCAUGUCCCCGCCGGCGCGCCACGGCUAAUGGGGUGGGGCAACAUGUCGUGGGAACAGGGAAGCUGCACCUGCAUACUCGUGAUGGACACAAUGUCCGGCUGCACAACAUGCUGCACGUCCCCAGCUCGGGCCUCACCCUGACGUCUGUCGACCUCGUGAGAGGUCGACAGACCUCAUGACACGCGGCUACUCGGUCACGUUCAGCAUGGACAAGACGGGCUGCUGGUUCUUAUGCAUCAGCCUCCUGCACAACAGCCCGUCUAUAACCCCAUGGAGUGAGCGUGGGCACGAUGCAUGGACGUGGACCUGCAGGCGCCGACUGACAUCACCGUCAAUGCCCUCAGCACCACGGGUGACAGAGCUGGCAGGGGCCAGGCCGCAGGUAGCAGCGCUGGUGGAAGUGCCACCACCAUCACCAGCACCCGUGGCGGCAGCACCGCCGGCAGCCACACCGGUGGAGGCCAACCGAACGGUGACAGCAACGGCAAAGGGCAACCAGGCAACGGCAGCCCCGGGGCCACUGAAUGCUCAGUCGCCGAACUUGCGGCAGCACAGCACCUGCACUGCCAGUACCGUCACCUCGGUUACCGCGUGCUGAAGCAGCUGAUCAGCAAGCAGCUGGUGCAGGGGCCACAGGUCACUCCAGCGGCACUAUGACAGGCGGUGGAGGCCGUCUGCGAGGCCUGUGUCACCGUGAAGGCCACCGCAACCGCCCACCCCAGCUGCGGCAUCCGGCCAUAGCACGCACUGGAGGUCGUACACUCUGACCUGUGCGGGCCCAUGCCCACCACGGGCCGAGGGGGGGCACGCUACUUGCUGAUGCUGCUGGAUGGUGCCACUGGUCUGUCCGCCGUCUGCAUGCUGGCCAGCAAGAGCCAAUGGGCGAAGUGCUGCAGGACAUGGUGACACAGCUGGAGGCCCGCCACCUGAACCACGCACGGGUACACAUGCUGCACAGCGACAACGGUGGUGAGUACGUCGCCAAGCAACUGGAGCAGUGGCUGCACCAGCACGGCACCGCACACACCCACUCGGCGCCGUACACCCCAGAGCAGAACGGAGCGGUGGAGCGACUCAACCACACGCUCCUCAACUGUGUGCGGGCGAUGCUGCAUGACACAGCACUCCCGGUCAGCUACUGGCUGGAGGCUGCACUCUACACCAACCUCCUGCACAAUGUGGCCCCCUCUCAGGGCCGGGAGGCCACACCGUGGGCAGCUUAUCACGGCUUUCCCCCCAACAUCAGCCACCUCCACACCUUCGGCUGCCUGGCCUACAUCCGCAUCCCAGCCAGCCAGCAGGACAAACUCAGUCCUCGUGCAAAGGCGGGAACCUACCGCUGACCGGAGCAUGGCAUGGCCACCCACCGCGUCCUCGUUGAGGGCAAGGUGACCAUGAGCAGCGACGUCACCUUCAAUGACGACUGCCACAGCCCGGUUCACAACAGGCUGGCACCCUCUUCGGCACUAGCCCCGACUGCCCCGGCGGCAGGGACACUAUCGGCGGCUCUACACCGCCCACCAUGCUGCCGACCCCAGCGGCUACCCCGCCCCCGGCGACCCCAACAACACCCCUUCCAUCGCAAGACCCACAGUCAAUGGCAGUCCCUGCACAUGCCGCAGCCCCGGUCAGUGACGGCCUGCCAACCCGACAGCAGCAGCAGUGGCAGCGGCGGAGAGUCGGGAUGUCCACCGCUGCUCGGGUGAUAGUGCUGACAGUGCUAAGUCUAACAUGCCCGAUGGCAGCGGAGGUGGCGGAGGCAACAGCGUGGUGCACACUGCCAACGACAUGCUGGUGACGGCGGACAACCUGCAACCUGCCCAGUUUAAAUGGGGGGGACCUCGACUGUAAUCACAAAUUUAGAUGCUUAAUUCUCCAUACUGACAUUCUCCUUACACUUCGUCAAUUGCUUAUACUUUACUGUUGCAGCAACUAGCAAUGUGUGGGCAAUUUGCACUGUACGACCAAUGCAAGAAAACAAACCGUUUCAAUCAUUGGAAAAGGCACACAGCCCACAUGCUUGCUAAUGCCAGCCGAUAAAAACUUUCGCCUAAAGCUUUCCAAGAACAAGGGGCAGGAGAGAGGGGAAAGUGCGGGGAAGUGGGGCGGCAGCCCCACGACCCCGCACAUCCCCCCCAAGACAACCUGGCCACCGACAGGCAAUCAUGAUAGGGAUGAGCGGGAGCCAAAGGAAACAUUUAAAAGCAUGAUUACUUCGGCCAUAAGUCGCCCCAAAUGCCUUCUGCACAUAUAAAGCUGAACAUUUGGAGCUUAUGCACCAUUUAUGUAUAAAAUAUUUGAUGAUAUCACCAUGAGACGGCCCGCUGUUGCAUUCAACUUAGGUCAACGGGGCAUUCAUUCAUUCUUGACCAAAGCAAACGGCUCAGAAAGUCCGCAGACGCAAUGCCCCAAACAUUUAGAAGAAGAAUUAGAUAAUACAGAAGACAAGGAUAGGCAUGCCGUAGUUGCCGCUCUUGAAGUCAGUGAAGCCAGCGAUUUGAGUGAAGCUGAGGAUCCCCCAGCGAAGCGGCAACACACAACUGCAGCAAUCAGCGACUCAGCUGAGCAGCUUGAUUCUGACGAGGAAGGGCNNNNNNNNNNNNNNNNNNNNNNNNNNNNNNNNNNNNNNNNNNNNNNNNNNACCUCCUCAAGCUUGUCGGGUUGUGACACGUGGGCAUGAACCUUGUGACAAUGGGCAUUGUCACAAAGAAACUGGUUGCAAUCAGAAAUGCAUUUUUGCUCAUGCCAGGUUACCGACAUCGGUUACCGAUUACUGGGGACGGUUAACGGAUAACGGUUCGCCCGGUAAUCCUACCGACCGGUUACCCAUCUCGUUAACUGGACCCGUUAGGUCGGAACCGGGCCGGAACCGGCCUGGAGUAUGCCAUUGGGACGCAAUUAAACCCCCGCCGUGAGAUGUGUCGGUGGCUGUGAGGCAGUUGUGGGGACAUGCCUGGGAGGCUGAAAGGGCAUAAAUCGCAUCAGGAGCCAUCGUACGCCGCAACAACGAUGCAUCACACCAUCAACUAGUUGCCAGAAAGGUGGCAGGGAACGCGGCUUGAUCAGACAUGCUCGCUAGGCAACCAUCAUGGGGAAGGGAUGUAAGGGUGUCCUCCUCUCGGAUGGGUCGAACUACUCCCAGUGGCUCGGCGACUUAGGCGAUUUCUUUGCAACAUCCAAGUUGAAGACUACAUCAACACCCGUCACCUCCGGGCCGCAACGCCCAAGACGCCCUGGAGGAGGACGCACAGGCGCUCGGCUACCUGCAUCUGUCCUGUGAACUGCCCAUCAAGCAGUUGCUCAGGAAUUGCCAGACCAUUCUCGCCGCCAUGCAGCUCUUACAGCAACAAUUGCGUUCUGCAUCCCAGGCCCGGCUGAGCCUGUUGGAGCCGCAGAAACAGCUGAGCAUGCGCGAUGGGAAGACGACCACUGACUUCGUUCAGCAGGCAGAGCAGCUCCGUAGCAAUAUAAUUGUGGCCGGCGGCCAGUGGGACGAGAGCAUGAUGCACCACGCCAUUCUCCAUGGCCUGCCUCCGCAGUGCACCAUCACCGUCGAGUUGACGAUGUAUCAGCCCAACUUAACAACCCCACAGCUUGUGCUCAUGCUGCGUGAGAAGGAGAACAACCCUAAGACCUAAGCAAGCAAGACAAGCCUGGUGGGAGCUGUCAGCCCUGGCCGUGCUGCCAGUGGAAUCGGCAGCGCCGCCGGUGCUGCAGGCACCGUGGGGGCCAGCGACACCUGCCACUACUGCGGACAGCCAGGUCACUACGUUCGCGAGUGUCCCAUUAAGCAGGCGGACGAGUCCGUCGGCCUUCACCGCAGCAACACAUUCGAGCAGCUGCAUGCCGCCGGCAACAUCAGUUGAGGCAGCUGCAACCGCCACCGUGACUGUGGCGGCAGGGGCACUGGCAGCGGCAAUGGCGGUAACAGCAGGGCUGACAGAGCACAUGAAUGUGGCCAUGCUCGAUGCGGCAACAGCCACCACAAUGGUGGCGACACUGCAGGCGGCAGCAGUGGCAGCGGCUCGGGCAGCAGCAGAAGCAGCCCACGCCAGAGCCGUGCCCCAGUGCUGGUCAUCGACCGCAGUGGAAGCAGCUCACGAGUCACCCUCGACUCAGGCUCACCAUACCACCUCACGGGUGACCGCUCCCUGCUGCACAACCAUGUCCCCGCCGGCGCGCCACGGCUAAUGGGGUGGGGCAACAUGUCGUGGGAACAGGGAAGCUGCACCUGCAUACUCGUGAUGGACACAAUGUCCGGCUGCACAACAUGCUGCACGUCCCCAGCUCGGGCCUCACCCUGACGUCUGUCGACCUCGUGAGAGGUCGACAGACCUCAUGACACGCGGCUACUCGGUCACGUUCAGCAUGGACAAGACGGGCUGCUGGUUCUUAUGCAUCAGCCUCCUGCACAACAGCCCGUCUAUAACCCCAUGGAGUGAGCGUGGGCACGAUGCAUGGACGUGGACCUGCAGGCGCCGACUGACAUCACCGUCAAUGCCCUCAGCACCACGGGUGACAGAGCUGGCAGGGGCCAGGCCGCAGGUAGCAGCGCUGGUGGAAGUGCCACCACCAUCACCAGCACCCGUGGCGGCAGCACCGCCGGCAGCCACACCGGUGGAGGCCAACCGAACGGUGACAGCAACGGCAAAGGGCAACCAGGCAACGGCAGCCCCGGGGCCACUGAAUGCUCAGUCGCCGAACUUGCGGCAGCACAGCACCUGCACUGCCAGUACCGUCACCUCGGUUACCGCGUGCUGAAGCAGCUGAUCAGCAAGCAGCUGGUGCAGGGGCCACAGGUCACUCCAGCGGCACUAUGACAGGCGGUGGAGGCCGUCUGCGAGGCCUGUGUCACCGUGAAGGCCACCGCAACCGCCCACCCCAGCUGCGGCAUCCGGCCAUAGCACGCACUGGAGGUCGUACACUCUGACCUGUGCGGGCCCAUGCCCACCACGGGCCGAGGGGGGGCACGCUACUUGCUGAUGCUGCUGGAUGGUGCCACUGGUCUGUCCGCCGUCUGCAUGCUGGCCAGCAAGAGCCAAUGGGCGAAGUGCUGCAGGACAUGGUGACACAGCUGGAGGCCCGCCACCUGAACCACGCACGGGUACACAUGCUGCACAGCGACAACGGUGGUGAGUACGUCGCCAAGCAACUGGAGCAGUGGCUGCACCAGCACGGCACCGCACACACCCACUCGGCGCCGUACACCCCAGAGCAGAACGGAGCGGUGGAGCGACUCAACCACACGCUCCUCAACUGUGUGCGGGCGAUGCUGCAUGACACAGCACUCCCGGUCAGCUACUGGCUGGAGGCUGCACUCUACACCAACCUCCUGCACAAUGUGGCCCCCUCUCAGGGCCGGGAGGCCACACCGUGGGCAGCUUAUCACGGCUUUCCCCCCAACAUCAGCCACCUCCACACCUUCGGCUGCCUGGCCUACAUCCGCAUCCCAGCCAGCCAGCAGGACAAACUCAGUCCUCGUGCAAAGGCGGGAACCUACCGCUGACCGGAGCAUGGCAUGGCCACCCACCGCGUCCUCGUUGAGGGCAAGGUGACCAUGAGCAGCGACGUCACCUUCAAUGACGACUGCCACAGCCCGGUUCACAACAGGCUGGCACCCUCUUCGGCACUAGCCCCGACUGCCCCGGCGGCAGGGACACUAUCGGCGGCUCUACACCGCCCACCAUGCUGCCGACCCCAGCGGCUACCCCGCCCCCGGCGACCCCAACAACACCCCUUCCAUCGCAAGACCCACAGUCAAUGGCAGUCCCUGCACAUGCCGCAGCCCCGGUCAGUGACGGCCUGCCAACCCGACAGCAGCAGCAGUGGCAGCGGCGGAGAGUCGGGAUGUCCACCGCUGCUCGGGUGAUAGUGCUGACAGUGCUAAGUCUAACAUGCCCGAUGGCAGCGGAGGUGGCGGAGGCAACAGCGUGGUGCACACUGCCAACGACAUGCUGGUGACGGCGGACAACCUGCAACCUGCCCAGUUUAAAUGGGGGGGACCUCGACUGUAAUCACAAAUUUAGAUGCUUAAUUCUCCAUACUGACAUUCUCCUUACACUUCGUCAAUUGCUUAUACUUUACUGUUGCAGCAACUAGCAAUGUGUGGGCAAUUUGCACUGUACGACCAAUGCAAGAAAACAAACCGUUUCAAUCAUUGGAAAAGGCACACAGCCCACAUGCUUGCUAAUGCCAGCCGAUAAAAACUUUCGCCUAAAGCUUUCCAAGAACAAGGGGCAGGAGAGAGGGGAAAGUGCGGGGAAGUGGGGCGGCAGCCCCACGACCCCGCACAUCCCCCCCAAGACAACCUGGCCACCGACAGGCAAUCAUGAUAGGGAUGAGCGGGAGCCAAAGGAAACAUUUAAAAGCAUGAUUACUUCGGCCAUAAGUCGCCCCAAAUGCCUUCUGCACAUAUAAAGCUGAACAUUUGGAGCUUAUGCACCAUUUAUGUAUAAAAUAUUUGAUGAUAUCACCAUGAGACGGCCCGCUGUUGCAUUCAACUUAGGUCAACGGGGCAUUCAUUCAUUCUUGACCAAAGCAAACGGCUCAGAAAGUCCGCAGACGCAAUGCCCCAAACAUUUAGAAGAAGAAUUAGAUAAUACAGAAGACAAGGAUAGGCAUGCCGUAGUUGCCGCUCUUGAAGUCAGUGAAGCCAGCGAUUUGAGUGAAGCUGAGGAUCCCCCAGCGAAGCGGCAACACACAACUGCAGCAAUCAGCGACUCAGCUGAGCAGCUUGAUUCUGACGAGGAAGGGCCACCACCCCAAGAUGUCGCCACGGCACCACCGCCACCUUCAAGGGUGGGUGCUUUGCACCAUGCACCGCUGGUGAUUCAAAAGCAGGCGUGGCUCCAGCAAACACAGCAUGUGCCGAAAGGCCAAAGCCAUGGGAGCUGGCGGGAGAAUGAGGGAGUGCGUCGCUUCCAGGCGCACUGGACAGCUUGUCGAAUGGGCUGAGUGUGUUGCACCGGAUGUGGAGGCUGGUGAGGUGCAUGACCGUGUCCGGUGCGGUCCCUGCUCCCUCAGCCGGUAGCGGGACAUCACGAUGGAUGCCAGGCAGGCCACAAUAAAAAGCCACGAGCUUUGCGAGUGUUGUUUACAGCACACCGUACAGCCUUUGAGGGGGGGGUCUGGGGGGGCGCANCCCCCCCAGCGACUAUACAAAAAGGAAUUGUAACCGCAAGAAACAGCCAGUUUAUUACUCUAGGGUAUUAGGCCCCAAACGAAAAAAAAAACACUGAUAGGGAGAGGAGAAGGACGGGGAAUGGAGGCGGUCAUAUAGUGCAGGGAAGAACCCUUUUUCUUCCCUAGUGCCGCUCCAAGGUUGUAGGGUGCUGGAGACCGGGGGGAGGUGGGGUCGCUCGGACAGGGGAGGGGGGAAAUGGCGGUGAGAGCGCCAAAAGGAUGUAGGUUUACUGAUGUUUGGGAGGUUGAGGUCUGGGGGUGGUAGCGGGGCUCGGAUGCGGGGGAGAUGUGGCCCGAGGAGGGCCAUUCUACUUAGGCACGUCUUCUCUGUGGGAAUGGGUUGCUUGGUGAGGGACGAGGGUGAGAGCGGUGCAGUACGAGACAGGGUGAAUAGGUUUCUGGAGGACCAACCGUUCAGGUUAGUGGCGGUAAGGGGGAGGCGCCGUGUGGGCUACAAUCCUCCCCCUGCGGUUUUCUGGAGGAUCUAGGAGCUGUGUGUCGUGGCAAUGCUUUCAUGUUUGUGGUUUCACCGGUCUAUCCCGGGCCCCUGCAGUGGUGAUCGGGCUUGUGUGUGGUCCCUUUUUGGGCGGGGCCCCAGCGCGAAGCGCCCAGGGGGGCCCCGACCUGUAGGAUUGCCCAUGUCCGUGUGUGUGUGUGUGUGUGUGUGUGUGUGUGUGUGUGUGUGUGUGUGUGUGUAACGGACCAAACAUAAUAUCUCGCCUGGCUGAAACGCGUUAUAGGUACUAUACAGCAUUCUCUAUUGCAAGGUAUCUCGCAUGUAGCCAACAAAAAUCGUAUGAGCGCAAACAAGUUUGGCUGCCUCAAUUGACCGAGGCCAAAGUCACAUCAACGCCUCUCGCGCUAAAUUUCAUCGCAAAAGGUACCGCGUAUCUCAUAUUUGAAUUCUUAGAUGACGGCGUAUGAUAACUCGAACUCCCAGGCCUUGAGUGUGUAACGGACCAAACAUAAUAUUUC
rnacentral:lncRNA from 1 species